rnacentral:lncRNA from 1 species
UGGCUAGUGGUUGUCGCAAAAGGCACUCGUUCGGAGCCUAUCAUUAUCAAACUUGUAGUUCAGCUACCAGUAAACAGCAGCAAGGUAGUGCCUUGGAAUUAUGAUCAAGUAACAGUGACUUACAAAGGGAAGGAGAUUAGAGAAUAAGUUUGUGAGACUCAUGGAUUGACCCGAUCGGAGUGGUGUUUUGCCCCGAGGAAUUGAGAAAAUCAAAACCAACCAAGGAUAGUUCAGCACUGGUGAAGAAAAAAUGAGUGAAGAAGAGGUAGAAGAGUUUCUAAAGAAGAUGAAAAUGCAGAAUUACUUUAUUAUGGAACAACUAAGGAAGACACCUACUCAUAUCUCGUUGUUAUCAUUGCUAAUUAAUUAAGAUGAGCACCGUCGGGCUUUAAUGAAGAUCCUGAACGAGGCCCACAUUCCUGAUAAAAUCACAGUCAACCAUUUGGAGAAAAUAGCCAAUAAGAUUUUUAAGGUGAAAAAGUCACAUUUUUAAUGAUGAAUUACCAAUAGAAGGCACCGAGCAUAAUAAGGCACUCUACCUCACGAUAAAAUACGAAGAUUCUAUGGUGACUCGAGUUUUGGUUGAUAAUGGUUCAAGCACGAAUAUUUUCCCUCUCUCUAUGCUAAGCAAGUUAAAGGUGGAAAAUGAAAGUAUUCACAAGAACAACAUCUGUGUAAGAGGGUUUGAUGGCGAGGGAAAAGAUUCAGUUGGUGACAUAGUUCUCGAAUUGACAAUCGGGCUUGUUGAUUUUAUCAUGGAGUUCUAGGUGCUCUAUGUGGCUGUCUUUUACAACCUGCUGUUGGGGCGACCUUGGAUCCAUGCUGCUAAAGCAGUUCCCUCUACCUUGCAUCAAAUGGUGAAACUUGAAUGGGAUCGACAAGAAAUAGUGGUGCACAGCAAAGACCAUCUGUAUGCUCACAGUGACACUAUCAUACCCUUCAUUGAAGCAGAUGAUGAUAAAGGGCUCUGGGUGUAUCAAGUUCAUGACUUGGAAUCAGUGGAGAAGGUCCCAGAAGGGGAGUGUGAUCCAACGCCAAGGUUAGCUACUGCAGAAGUCAUAGUGGCAGUUGAAAUGCUAAAGAAUGGGUUUGUUCCUAGAAAGGGUUUGGGGGCCUCACUUCAGGGUAUCAUACAGCCGGUGUCUCUUCCCACGAACCUAGAAAUUUUUGGUUAGGGAUUCAAGCCUACAAGUGCAGACAUCAAGAGAGCCAGAAAGAUAAGGAAGAAAGCAUGGGCCCUUCCCAAAUCUGUGCCUCGUCUCUUCAAAUCAUUUGUGAAACCUAGCGCCAAGAAGUGUUUGACAACAAAAAGUGCCAAUGCUGUGGUUUGACCCUGACAAAGAGUUACUCGAAAGGUUUGAAAAGUUGUUUAAAGAUGUGAACAUGGUGGAGGCCAGAGAAGGAUCAAGCAAGACAAAUGUGCAUUUUGUGGGAUCCGUGCAAAAGUCAGCAACUGGGAAGCUACUCCUCUUCCCACUCGAAAGGAGUCGUGGUAGUCGGUUUUGAUUUUCUUUCAGUUUAAUCUGGAUAUCUCCAGGGUUGUAAUUCAGAUGUUAUGUUCCGUCCAUUUGGAUGUGUAAACCUUGUUAUCUUUCCAAUUUCAAUGAAAUGCAAUUUUCCUUUUCUUUAGUGCUAAUAGCUUUCGUUUUUCUUUGUUUUUCUUUUCUUUCUUGUACGGUUAUUUUUAUGCUGGUUCCAAUGAUCUGACAUGCAUAAGGUCUCUUCAGCCCAGUCUUAAAAAUCAGUCUAAUUCAGAAGUAAUAAUUCAAGAGAUAGAAUAUGAGGAUGAGUCGGAGUAUGAUGAGGAAAUGGCAGUGGAUUAAAUUAGUAAAGAGCUGAGCCAUUUUGAAGAAAAGCCCAAGCCAAACUUGAGCGAUAUAGAGGCAGUCAAUUUAUGGGACCAGAAAACAUUAGAGAAACCAAAAUAAGUGUCCAUCUCGAGCCACAUCUUAGAGAAGUAAUAAUUGAAGCGUUACUUGAAUACAAUGAUGUUUUUGCAUGGUCUUACAAUGAUAUGCCAGGGUUGAGCACUGACUUGGUGGUUCACAAGUUGCCCAGUGACCCGGCCUGCCUUCCUGUCAAACAAAAGUUGAGGAAGUUUAAAACUGAUGUGAGCAUGAAAAUCAAAGAGGAAGUUACCAAGAAAUUUGAGGCCAAGGUAAUCCGAGUCAUACGAUAUCCCACAUGGUUAGCCAAUGUCGUGCUUGUGCCCAAGAAAGAUGGUAAAACUAGGGUAUGCAUCGAUUAUCAUGAUCUUAAAAAAGCAAGUCCAAAAGAUAACUUCCCACUGCCAAACAUCCACAUACUAAUUGACAAUUGUGCAAAGCAUGAGAUUGGUUCCUUGGUAGAUUAUUACGUGGGCUACCACUAGAUUUUGAUGGAUGAGGAAGAUGCAGAGAAGAUAGCGCUCAUCACGCCAUAGGGAACAUUUUGCUACAGGGUCAUGCCAGUCGGCCUGAAGAAUGUUGAGGCAACCUAUAUGAGGGCGAUGACAACCAUCUUUCACGAUAUGAUACAUAAGGAGAUUGAGGUCUAUGUGGAUGAUGUAAUUGUGAAAUCCAGGAAGCAAUCUGACCAUGUCAGAGAUUUGAGGAAAUUCUUCCAGAGGCUCCGCAGGUAUAAUCUCAAAAUCAAUCUAGCAAUAUGCGCGUUUGGGAUACCCUCAGGGAAGUUUCUAGGGUUUAUAAUUAGCCGUCGAGGCAUUGAACUAGAUCCAUCAAAGAUCAAAGCCAUACAAAAACUGCCGCCUACGAGGAACAAAAUGGAGGUGAUGAGUCUGUUAGGGAGAUUGAAUUACAUUAGUCGAUUCAUUGCUCAGCUCAAAACAACUUGCGAGCCCAUCUUUAAGUUAUUGAAAAGGGAUGAUGUAGUUAAACGGACGGGAAAGUUCUAGGAGGCUUUUGAUAAAAUAAAGGAAUACUUGUCGAACCCGUCGAUUUUGGUCCCGCCGGAACCAGGAAGGCGCUUGAUUCUAUAUCUGACAGUCGUGGACAAUUCAUUUGGAUAUGUGCUAAGUCAGCAUGAUAUCACCGGGAGGAAAGAAUAGGAUAUAUACUACCUCAUAAGGAAGUUUGCAGCUUAUGAGGUUAAGUAUACUCAUUUUGAAAGGACGUGCUGUGAAGUUGAAACAUUACUUGUCAUCGUAUACCACUUACCUCAUCUCAAGCUUGGACCCAUUGAAAUACAUCUUCCAGAAGCCUAUGCCCACGGGGAGGCUUGCAAAAUGGAAAAUUUUGCUCACUGAGUUUGACAUUGUCUAUGUGACCAGGACUGAAAUAAAAGAACAGGCACUGGCUAAUCAUUUGGCCGAGAAUCUGGUAGAUGAAGAAUAUGAACCUUUAAAUACAUACUUCCUGGAGGAGGAGGUAAUGCAUAUUGAGGAAAUGGAACAGGGCGAGAAGCCGGGAUGGAAAUUAUUCUUCGAUGGGGCUACUGACAUGAAAGGCGUCGGGAUAGGAGCGAUACUCAUUUCUAAAACGGGGCACCAUUACCCUAUUACCGCUCAACUCCGCUUUUAUUGCACAAACAACAUGGUAGAGUAUGAGGCGUGUAUUUUGGGUUUGAGGUUAGCUGCAGACACGGGUGUCCAUGAAGUCUUGGUCAUGGGAGACUCAGAUAUGCUAUUACACCAGAUUCAAGGAGAGUGGGAAACAUGAGAUUUGAAACUCACACCGUAUCGUCAAUGCUUGCACGACCUUUUGUCAAUUUCGGUCAGUAAAGUUUAGGAAUAACCCGAGAAUUCACAAUGAGGUUGCUACCGCUUUGGCCACCUUGGCGUCAAUAUUACAUCAUCGAGAUAAGGCUUAUGUUGAUCAACUAUAUAUCCAAGUCCAUGACAAACACGCAUACUAUAGUGUGGUGGAGGAAGAGAUUGACGUUGAGCGUUGGUUUCAUGACAUCAAAGAAUAUAUCAAGAUGGGUGUGUACCCAGUACCAACCACAUGUGACCAGAAAAGAACAAUCCGUCGUCUAUCAAGCGAUUUUUUCCUCAGUGGGGGGGGGGGGGGCUAUACUAAAGAACGCCGGAUCUUAGGUUGUUAAGGUGCAUAGAUGUUGGGCAGGCCACGACCCUUAUGAAUGAGGUACAUUCUGGAGUCCACGGUUGCUGUUGAUGUUGGGCAGGCCACGACCCUUAUGACACAGUUUCAUCCCGGUUGCUAUUGAUUAUUUUACCAAGUGGGUCAAAGCUAAAACUUUCAAGGCAGUAACCAAGAAAGUCGUGGUCGACUUUGUGUAUCAAAUAUUAUUUUCCGAUUUGGAAUCCCAAAGACGCUUAUCAUAGAUGAUAGAGCAAAUCUUAAUAGUCAUUUGAUGAAAGAAGUAUGCCAACAGUUUAAGAUUACACAUCGCAAUUCCACCCCAUACCAUCCCAAGGAAAAUGGAGUAGUUGAGGCAGCCAAUAAGAAUAUAAAGAAGAUACUUCAAAAAAUGGUGGAAGGGUCCAGGCAAUGGCAUGAGAAGUUACCUUUCGCAUUGUUAGGCUAUUGCACUACUUUCUGUACCUUGGUGGGGGCAACUCCAUAUUAUUGGUAUAUGGCACAGAAGCAGUGAUCCCGGCUGAAAUUGAAAUUCCGUCCUUUCGAAUUGUCGCCGAGGCGGAAAUUGAUGAUGAGGAAUAGGUCAAAGCGUCUGGAGCAAUUGAGUUUGAUUGUUGAAAAAAGAUUGUCGGCGGUAUGUCACAUCCAUUUGUAUCAAUAGAGGAUAGCCAGAGCAUAUAACAAGUGCAUCAAAGAAGGUUUGAAGUGGGUCAGUUGGUAUUGAAACGCAUCCUCCCUCAUCAGGUAGAGGCAAAGCACAAGUUCGCCCCAAAUUGGAAAGGGUUGUUUAUCGUGUCAAGAGUGUUAUCAAACGGGGCGUUGUAUCUAACAUAUAUGGAAGGAAAGUGUGUAGAAAUGGCCAUCAAUUCAGAUGCAGUUAAGAGAUACUAUGUAUGAUUUUCUUUGUUCAAAUCAUUAUCUAUACUUGGCAUGUUGUUUGGACUUUGCAUGUUUUAGAGAUUGAAAUGAAGAAGGCAUUUUAUUCCGCUAUCUAAUCACUUUAGCCUUUGCUAACCCUUUUUUAGAUUAAUUGAUUUCUUUAAUACCCCCUUUCGGAAUCGGUAGCGAAAGUCAGAAAUGCAAAGGUAAAAGUCAGCAAAAAGAAAAGACCAGGAAAGAAUGAAAAGUAGGAAGAAGAAUAAAAGAAAGAAAUAAAAAAAAAAGAAAUAAUAAAAGAAAAAAAGAAAAGGAAAAGAGAAACAGAAAAAAAAAACAGAGAGGGGAAAACCCCAUAAAACAGCAAACAACAAAAGAAAAAUAAAGAAACAGAAUAAGGAAAGGAAGAAAAUAGAAGACCACAAAAACAAGGAAUCGGCAUGAGCUACGUUUGAUCUGAUUCCUUUUAAAGGAUACGUAGGCAGCCUCACGGCUCGGUCAUAUUCAAAUAAAAUUCAAAGGUCCCCAAGCAAGAAACUGGGGCGGAAGUUGUGGUUGUUGUAAGAAAUCUGAUUUCGAAAGUUGUAAUUCUUGGAACCCAUUUGAAAUAUUUUUAGCCUUUAAACUCCUUUCUUUCUAACCUUAUCCAAAAGGCUGCAUUACAGUCCAAAGAAAGACCUCUGAUCAAUUUUUAAGAAAUGUCGAGUCAAGCAAGAAGAGGUGAUUCAUACCUCGGGACAACACUUUAGUUCAAACAGGAAAAUAAUAAAAAUAAGAGAGUCUUAUUAGUGAAAACCCUCACGGGCACCAUAAGGCGACAUGAGUUGAGAGAAAUGAAAAUGAGAGUCUCAUUGGCGAAAACCCUCAUGGGCACCAUAAGGCAAAGGCAAGGGAAGAAACAAGCGAUUGGAAAAGGUGUUGUUGGUGGAAAUCUGUCCAAGAAACCAUAGUUAAGCACGGUCAGGUUUUGGUUAAAGGUUGUGGGUUUGAAGAAGGCCGCAACAACAAAGCAUACAGUAGAAAAUCGAUCGUUUGGGCAAACUCGGUCGACUAAGCCAAAGUGCAUGUCAUGAUCAUGGAAACCAGUUAUUCCUUCACAAAUAAGUUUCUUUUCUUUUCCCCUCAAUAGUCGCCCAAUUUGGAAUUCUUUUAUUCUAAAACAAAAUAAUUCAGAGUCAUUGAUUUUCAUUUUAUUCGAGUCUCCAUUCUUCUAAUAUGUCCUCAAAGUCAUUUUGUUUAAGCAAGCAGGAGAGAAAUUUCAAAGCUUAUUACCAGCUCCAAAGUGGCAAAGCACAUGCCGAUCCAAACAUAACAAAGACAGCAAAAAUUGAAAUGGCAAGGGAAAGGAUCAAUGAAGGUUUCGUUAGUAAACCGACUCGGUAACUUCAAGAAGGAUGUAAGGAUUCUGGCAAAAGGGUCAGAAGUGUAACACGAUGAUGGGAGAAUAGAGUAAAGCCAUAGGGUUCAGGGAUCAUUCGAGCAAAUGAAGCGAGCUAUCAUCAGUUCGAAAAAUUUCACACAACAGAACUUGACAGUGGGGAAGCCAUCUUCAAAAUGCCGCAAACUAACCAUCACCUUUCCAAACUAACAAGAUUUUAUUUGAUUGAAAUAGGGGCAGAAAAUUCCAGAAGAUCCUGGGGAAAUCCUCCACAGGGGAGGGAUAGCACAUGGCAGUUACGGUCGAGAAUCUCAGGACCUUCCUGGAAAAUGGUACAAACAUUUUCCCUAGUACGAGUUGUUAGGAACCUCCUGAAUAAUGGGAUGAAACUUUAACUAGAAAUCCCCCAGCAGAGGCCACCGAAAGUUAGAAUUGGCAUUUAAUCUGGAACCCUCAAGACCCUCUUGGAAAAUAGGACUUGCCUAAAGGAUGGAGACAAUCGUUAAUAGCAAAGAAUAUAAGUGAUUUGCAUGUUGAAACGAGAUUCGGUUAAGAUUUGUUAGGACCCUCCUGGAAAAUGGGACUCAGCUUAGAAUUCAAACAGUCGGGCGGCAUGGUCAUGCCCAAAUAUUUCCCCAACAAGAGUCGCCAUGACCCACCUUGAUAAUGGGACGUAGAUCUAAUUACUAAGCCCCAGCAAACACAUUUUGUCAUCUAAUUAAGAGUUGUCAGGAUCCACCUGGUUAAUGGGAAGUAGCUCUAAUUACCGGUCCCUAGUAGAUCCCCAACAAAUAUACUAGGAUAACAAGACAUAGUGGAAAAUAAUACCUUUUGAGAACACAGCCUAGUCUUAAAGGUGUCAUCAGUUAAGCGUUGACAGGACACUCCUGGAUAAUGGGACUUAGCUCUCAACUUUAGAGAUAUCUUGCGAUGGGAUUUGAUUAACACUCGCAGAUGCGCCCAGCACCAAACUAGGGGGAGAAAGAAUUUCUUUGUUUUGUUUGUUUUGUUGCGACCAGGAACACAGGCAACAGUCCCAGGGAAUAUUUUUCAAGUUUCAAGCUUUGGUAAUCAGGCGCCCACCUGGAGAACAAGGGAAUAUUUUUCAAGUUUCAAGUUUUGNNNNNNNNNNNNNNNNNNNNNNNNNNNNNNNNNNNNNNNNNNNNNNNNNNNNNNNNNNAAGUUUCAAGUUUUGGUAAUCAGGCGCCCACCUGGAGAACAAAGGAAUACUUUUCAAGUUUCAAGUUUUGGUAAUCAGGCUCCCACCUGGAGAAUAACGAAAUACUUUUCAAGUUUCAAGCUUUGGUAAUCAGGCUCCCACCUGGAGAACAAGGGAAUACUUUUCAAGUUGCAAGUUUUGGCAAUCACGCGCCUACCUGGAAAAUAAGGGAAUAUUUUUCAUGUUUCAAAUUUUGGUAAUCAGGCGCCCCCCUGGAGAACAAGGGAAUAUUUUUCAAGUUUCAAAUUUUGAUAAUCAGGCACCGAACAAGGGAAUACUUUUCAAGUUUUGGUAAUCAGGCGCCCACGUGGAAAAAAAGGGAAUAUUUUUCAAGUUUCAAGUUUUGGUAAUCAGGCGCCCACCUGAAAAACAAGGGAAUAUAUUUUUCAAGUUUCAAUUUGGUAAUCAGGCGCCCACCUGGAGAAUAAGGGAAUAUUUUUCAAGUUUCAAAUUUUGGUAGUUAGGCACCCACCUGGAGAAUAAGAGAAUAUUUUUUAAUUUUCAAGUUUUCGUAAUCAGGCGUCCACCUGGAGAACAAGGGAAUACUUUUCAAGUUUCAAGUUUUGGUAAUCAGGCGCCCCCCCGGAGAACAAGGGAAUACUUUUCAAGUUUUAAGUUUUGGUAAUCAGGCGCCUACCUGGAGAACAAGGGAAUAUUAUUAAAGUUUUAAGUUUUGGUAAUCAGGCGCCUACCUGGAGAACAAGGGAAUACCGCCCACCUAGAGAACAAGGGAAUAUUUUUCAAGUUUCAAGUUUUGGUAAUCAGGCGCCCACCUGGAGAACAAAGGAAUAUUUUUCAACUUUCAAAUUUUGGUAAUCUGGCGCCUACCUGGAGAACAAGGACAUAUUUUUCAAGUUUCAAGUUUUAGUAAUCAGGCGUCCACCUGGAGAACAAGGGAAUAUUUUUCAAGUUUCAUGUUUUUGUAAUUAAUUGCCCACCUGGAGAACAAGCAAAUACUUUUCAAGUUUCAAGUUUUGGUAAUCAGGCGCCCACCUGGAGAAUAAGGGAAUACAAUUCGAAUCCAACAACCAAGCCUGAACAUGGAAAAGAAGGAACAUGGCAAUAGGGCAACAAGAAGUUUCAUAGAAGGAAGUACAACGAGAGAACAAAAAGUUUCUCAGAGAGAUACACAAAGCAACAAGGCAAUAAAGAUCAAGAGCAAGUUUGAAGUAGAUAGGUUCUUUUAUAAUCCGUAGUUUAUAGCUUAGUCUAGCUUCUUUUAUUUUUUAUGUGGUUUAAUAAGGAGAUCCAGCAAGCAGUAGCAGCAGCAACGCAAGGACUGCUUCGAUAGUCCCAACUACCAAACACUCCUAAACUACACUGACCUGAUUCCUCUUUAUCCGAGGAUAUGUAGACAACCUAUGAAGCAAGGUGUGGUCAAGAUUUUCAAAAUGCUUCUCACAGAGUAUUUAAACGGGCAAAAAUUGUUCGUGUCUGCUUACUUUUCUUUGCACGAAAACUCUUCGUGUUUCCGGGCAAAGAGAGACAGUUGUGAGCAUGUGAUUUUUGUCCUGCAUGAAUUACUCCUAUAAAUUCAAACUAAAUAAUUUCUGUCAUUUGUUUUCAAUUUUGUAGAUUUCAAGGCAUUUUUCAUUAGUUGUUUGGAUAUUGUUUGUGCAUUUUACUUAAUAAAAAAAUACAAAAUAUGUUGCGUAUGCAUUUAGAAGUCGAUUGGACAUUUUCAAGCAUUAAUUAGCAAUCAGUCAUUUUAUAAAAAGGAAAAACCAAAAUAGGAUCAGUUUGCGCAUUUAGUUUUAAUUUUUUAAUUUUUAGGUAAUUUUCUCUUUUAAUUUUGUUUAGAUAAUAACUAUAUAUGAUUGGGUUGCAUUUUAUAGGUACAAUUGAGAUUUUGGAAUUAUAUUAGGAGUUUUAGUAAUUUUUGAGAAUGAAAAUAAAAAAAUGAAAAACAAGUGAAGAAAAAAUCUGAAAAUUUGAUAAAUAGAAGAAGGCCAAUUGGGCCAUUUUAAACCAGCUCCAAAUACCCAUCACCCGGCCCAAACCCAACCUAACCCGGUCUAGUCCCCCGCCCCAACCAAAUGACGUCAUUUUGGGCCAAUUAAUCAGAUCCAUCUAUUUCUUUUAAUCGGACGAUCGAGAACUGCGUAUCCUUUGAUAUAUAAGUGUCAAAACACCCCCACCCCCCAAACGACCUCGUACCUUGUCUCUCUAACCUCACCCUAAGAAACCCUAACGCCGCCAGCCAGAAAUUGCCUCCGCCGGCAGCGUUCGUCCAAUCCUAAUCAAUAUAACAUCAUUGAUCCGCCUCCCUCUCCUCUACCCAAAUCUGCAACCACCACCCCUCAAACCCCACCCCAGCCUCUCGAAUUUGAGCCAGAAACAUGGGCUCCGCCGCUGUGUAUGGCAGAGCCAACCCUUUUUCCAACCAAAUCGAUACCAAAUGACUACCAGUCCCUCCAUCAUGCCAAAUACCAUGUUGGUUUUCCUUAGAAUAACUCCAAAACCCCUUGAAUCUUGAAAUUAGUUUAAUCCUGGAAAUCCAAAACCUGGGUCCUACGAACCAGAGUCAAUUUCAUGUCUUCACAAGUUCAGAGCUCGAUUUAAUCACGAAUUAAUGUCGUUCGUUUGCUCUUGGCAAAGGACAAAUAAUUGACAUCAUUUCGAAGCUCAAAUCGGAGGUCAGUUUGGGUCAAAGUUUAAUUGGUAAUUUUUCUUAGCUUGUUUGUUUAUUUCACCUUCUAUUUUAAUUUUUCUUCUAUUAAAACUAGUGAAUCUAAUAUUCUUCUUUUCCCUUUGAAAUAACCUGUUAUGCCUUGAUUUUGUUGGAAAUUACUGAUUGCAUGUUCAGUUUGGGUUUGAUUAAUUUUAGUAUGAUUUUCCUCUGUUUGAUUGAUGAUCCAUUGUAGUAGCUUCAAUUUGGGUUGGUGUAUUUGCGAUUAGGGUUCAUGCAUGAGGUUCAGAAUCAAUUUGGGGUGUUUCAUGAGUUAAUUCAACCCAGGAUCAAACCCGUUUGGGCCAUUUGGUUUAAUUUCAGGGGUUGGGAGGGUAAUUUAGGAAGUAUAGGAUAGGGGAAUCCUUGGUAACUGAUUUAGAGGCUUCUAGUAAGGGAUUCUAUGAAAUUUUUAGAAUUUAACUUGGUCAUAAAGACAUAAAAGUAGAGACUAAAAUGAAAUAAAAACCUAAGGACUGCCCUACUUUGCUUGCCUAUAAAGACAUUGCAAACUUGUCUUUCAAGGUAGAUUCUAAAACGGAAAACCUAAAAAAAUCCAGAAAAAAAGGCUUCACUACGCUUACUACUUCUCAUAGAGAUUUAAAGAUUAAAGUGGAAAAGAGGAAAGAUAACUAAAAUUUUUACAUGAUAUUCACUAUUCCAUCGAAAUCUAUUGAUGAUUUUUUAAAGUUCUUUGAGUCAGAGGCAAUUUUGGUCAAGCUGAAAGCACAAAAAUGACCUGAAGUUGAGUCUAGUUUGAAGAUGUUAGGGAUCUGUUUUAUUAGAGUUGUUUGCUAGAUAAUUGUACAGCAUUCCUGGGUUUGAAGUUGGUGUUGAUUCCUCUCACUGGGUUCUGUUGCUGCUAUUGCUUUGCUCCUCACUUCCUCUUUAUUUUUUUUUAAAUUCCAGGUAUUACUCAGUCCCCAUGGACAUCACUUGAUGUAUAAUUUGCAGCGUGGAUUCGAAUGAAGCAAAGUUUGGUGCCAUGUUAUUUGAAUCAGCUUUUCUUUCUUGUAAUUGAGGGUUUACAUGUUAUAGUUAAUGAACAUGGGUGUUUGAUGGUUUUCUUUUAUCUUGUGCUAUUAAGAGUAUUGGAUUUAGGCUGUUGUGCACUUGAAAAUAUACUAUUCAGCACGAUUUUUGCCCUAGUUGGUGUGAGUUAAUUACUGUUUUUGGCAAGGGUCCCCUAUUCUAAAUUACUAGCUUGACAGGUUUUUGAGUCUAUCCUAUGCUGAGGUUCAGCAGAGUUUACUAUUGUUAAAUGUUGGUCAUAACUAAAAAUUUGAUUGCUAAGAAGCAUGUUUCUAAUGUAGGAUUAUGAGUUGGUUUUAGAUCUGUGGAUACUCUAUGCCACAAAGCUUUGAUUUAUGAUCUUUUUUCUAUCUUUUUAGUAUUAUAUUCCACGCUGAGGAUUUGUGCUUGUGGGCCGGGGUGAAUAUUGCAGACUAGCCGAUCUGGUGGUCGACAAUCGUUCGGACUUGGUAAAGGUUGUCGUAUCACCUUAGUAGGACAGAGGAAUUAUCGCGAUGCCCGCGGACCAAUUUACGAUGUCUCUGUCGCUGACAUUCAUCAAGCGGCCACGUGGAUUGGUCAGGGUCUUCUUCGGCUAAUGAGACCUCGAUCCCGAAGCCUUCGAAGUAUCUUUUUGAUAGGUGCCUCUAUUUGUAUGGGGAAUUCGCUGCUGAUAGAUCUCGCCCAGUGUCCCCCUCCUUCCCCCGCCGCCUUCCGACCCGCGGGAGUAUACAAUGACAAUGUCGGGGCAUGAGUGCCCGAUCGUGAGACUACCUGUUGAACGUCCGAUGGCACCUUGCUCCGACCUGAGCUAUGCAACAACGAGAUCUCCCUUGAUCCUUGCCGUAUGUGCUUGACGGCCCCCCAUAAGACGCUCACUUGGGGACUUCUUACUCCAGCUGUUCCAAGAGUCUCCGCUAGUUGAACCGCGUCCAGUAGACUCCCUGUUCCGCUCAUCCCCUUCGUCAGCUCUUUGAUCGGGAUACUAUUACCUAGGUUCCUAAACUUUGAAUGGAUGGCGGAGCGUAGGUGGCAAGCAGUUAUAUGGAUAAUGGCACUAAAGAACACUAUUGACAAUAGGGUCCGGGAGGCCCUCAAAAAAGCGAUAGAGCAAGAAAGAAAGAAAGAAAGAAAGGAUCAAGACAUCAUGGGUCGCACGCAAAAGAAAAGAGAGGAUAGCCAGAAUUGUAUUGAGGCCGCAACAGCAACAAAACAACAAGAGCACGUCUGCAUUUUGUAGGUUUCCAAUGUGAGUUUGUGAUGUAUGCUUAUCACAAUUCCUUAGCCGUAUUUGGUCAUUUUGUGUUGAUUCCUGUGUUAUGGUCGAUUUGUUUUCUCAAUCUGUAUUGAAUUGAAAUUUCGGUUGAUUUGUUGUGUUACUAGGAGUCUGAUUGAUUCAUGUUUCCUUGUAAAUUUGUUCGUUUUCGUUGGUAAGUUAAGUGUGUUUCAUUCAUUGUGUUAUGCCAUGCAAAUGUUAAAGAUCCAGACUUCAAUGUGGAUAUUUUUUUUCUAAAACAAUUCAAUGUUGUGCUUAUGGCCUUGACUUAGGCCUCAUAUUAGAAUUACACCAUAUCCUGUAAAUGCCUUGAAGUUGUUAUGGGUGGAACAAGAAAGGAUUAAAUUCGAGUCAUAGAAAAGGGAGUUACAAUACAAGCUGAUGAUAUCAUAUCUUCUGCUAUCGUCUACAAUAUUCCCAUUCUAUCGAUGCGUCCAUUUGAACCUAAUGAUAUUAUUUGGUCAUGAAAACAUUUGGGCUCACGAAUUGAUUGAGAUGUAAACAUCGUAUAAAAGCCUUUAAGCAUGUAAUUAAAUCGUCAUAGUUACGGUCACAGCUUCUUUAACAUAGUUUUGAUGCUUAAUUUCGAAUUAGUUUUAAGCAUGAACAUCCUUAGUUGAAUGCUUUUUUUCCUUUAAUAAAAUUGAGGCCGCGCCAAAUAAAAUCACAAAUGCAUGGUCCUCAUUUAAUUAUUAAUCUCAACAUUAGAAUCGAGGCGCACCACUUAGCGAAUUUUCAUGGUCCUACCAAAUCUAAGAUGCGUAACUGCUUCACGCGCGAUAGUUAAAAAUCUACUUUCCUAAAUUUGGGUGCGCAUUUAUGUGACCCAAAUCCAAAUCUCAACGUUAGGUAAAAUGUUUUGCAAACUACGAGUGUAUUUAUGUGACGUGGUUCAAGACGCAUUUUAACAACGUUGCAAUCUUCUUAAAAUUAAAUAAAAGCGGUUAAAAGGUUAAAUUUGUGCAUAGGUUCAAAAUGUAUUAAAACAGAUAAUCAAGCCGAGUAUAACAGUUGAGCGACCAUGCUAGAACCACGAAACUCGGGAGUGCCUAACACCUUCUACCGGGUUAACAGAAUUCCUUACCCAAAUUUCUGGCUCGUAGACUGUAUAGAGAGUCAAACCUUCCUCGAUUCGGGAUUUAAACCGGUGACUUUGGACACCAUUAAUUAUCCCAAGUGGCGAUUCUGAAAUCUUUUUAAAUAAAUAAAUCUUGUUUCGAUUGUCCUUUAAUUGGAAAAACUCCCUUACCUAUGCCCUUCGCCGGGGUAGUGGUGUUAAAAAGGAGGUGCGACAAAUGUAAUUACAAGUGUACUGUUUGGUUGCACAACUAUAAUCACACAGUUAGAUUAAAUGUUAAAUAAAAUAAUUAUCAAAUUUAAAAGUUAAUAUAUUAAAUAUAUGUCUAUAAAGUUUUAUAAGUGUAAAUGAUAUUAUACUUUGUAUUUAAUAUGUAUGUUUUCGUGAAUAUACAUCAGUUAGUAAUCAUAUAUCCAUAACUAAUAUUAUAAAAAUAAUAUAUAUAUAUAUAUAUAUAUAUAUAUAUAUAUAUAUAUAUAUAUNNNNNNNNNNNNNNNNNNNNNNNNNNNNNNNNNNNNNNNNNNNNNNNNNNNNNNNNACUAAAAAUAUAUACGUCUUAUAAGAACAUCAUGGAAUUCAUGUUUGAUAAAAUAAAUUAAUAUUUAUAAAUAUAAUGUCAUAACAUUAUUCAAAUAUUUAACAAACCUAAUCUAUCAAUUCUACCUAAAAAAUGAACAACAUGCAAUGUAAGCAAUACUAUUAAAACAAGCAAAUUGGAACCAUGAAUAUAAUACGAUUUCAAAAUUAAUUUUUUUUUAACAUAUGUCAAAUUCCAACAAUAAGUUCUAUUACAACUUAAGAUUAGGAAACAUAAUAAUAAAUUUCACUUUAAUUGCAUCACUAAUUGUAUGCCACGUUUGUUAAUGACUCAUUAUUUUCAAUAUUAGGAUGUGUAGUUUCAAAAAUAGAAUAACAAAUAAAUAAUUGAAUCACGAGAAGUAAAGGUAGAGAAAUAAAAUAUAAAUAAAGUACAAGAAAAAUAUUUUUAAAAAUUUCAAAAGAAAUUAAAAAGUACAACAACAACAACAAUAACAACUCAGUUUGGUCCCACAAGUGGGGUCUUCGGAGGGUAGAAUAUACCCCUACCCUAGAAGGGCACAGAGACUAUUUCCGAUAGGCCCUUGGCUAAAUGAAAUUAAAAAGUAAAAAUAGAAUUAAAAUAAUAGAAAUAAAAAUUUAUAAAGAAACUAAAAAGCAACCUUGUAAUUAUCACCAAUUAUCACCUCCCCUUGAGAAUUAAAGAGUAUAAUUAGAGCCCUCCAAUUACACCCAAUUUCAUGCCGACCAAGUAAUUACUUGGCCAAACAAACAUGUCAAAUUGUGUCAUUACACCCCAUUAUCCCCAAAUCUAUUUUCAAGGUGACUUUCCAAACAGGCUCUUAACAACAAGAGCAAUAACAAUAUCUUUUGAUAUUAUUCAUUCCAACUAACUUUAGGUUGAGAAAUAAUUGAUUGCUUGAUGAUUGAUCAAUGAGUGUAUUCCCAAUUAAAUCGUACAUCAGAAUGAGUGAAUCUUUAACUAUGUUGUCUAUGUAAAAGUUAUACACGGAAGGAGUACCAUAAAAUCAGAAUGAUUCAGAUAAGCUUCUUCUUUUCAAAGAAAGUCUUCAAAUGCCAGAACUGCAAACCUGCCACAGACAAGCAUACAAGAAUGGACAGACCAGUCAUCCAAGCCAUUUUAUCGUUGGUAGCUAUGUUAAGGUCGUGCAUUUCUUCUUCCCUGCACCAUUGUCGCCUUAGUUAUUAUUAGCAUAGAUUCACGAGGCUCGGAUAAAUAAUAAAGCAUAAAAAUAAACUCACCUUUCUCGGAGAUAAAACAUCUCAUCAUGGAUGGCUUGGACAGUCUCAGCCAUAUGUUUUAGUUCUAACUCCAUUGCCUAGAAACAGCAGAGAUGAAAAAACAUUACAUGUGUCUCCAUUCAUCUUCAGAACAUGUUGUCAUCACAUUCAUAUAAAAAACCAGGAGGUACUCUUUUCUUCUGCUCCACACUUCCCCAGCCCCUACCCCUCGUUUAGGACACAUUUCACCAACUACAUAUAAAAAGAGUGAUGUACCUCGACACAACUUUUGAAACAUGACCAAUAAUUCUGGCAGCAACUUUUGAAUAAAGGCAAGAAAGCACACAUACAAGCUUCAAGAGAUGGUCACAUGUUCAACUACAACUGAGUCAUCAUUUCUAUUUCUCAAGGGCGAGGAGGACGCAACAUAAUCAAUCUUAAAAGGUUACACAAAGCAUUGGCGGGAUGCUUUUAGUCAAUGAUGGCACUUCACAUGAAAUGCAUAGACAGCAUAGAAUAAACAGUAUGUCAACUUCAUGCUGCAGUAUUGCAAACUAAUACAACCAAUGGAUUUCAACACCCGUGUUGAGGAACUUCAGAUGUUUGUCUUUUUACCACCCCACCAGCCAGAAGAUAAAAGCUCAUCAUCUAGGAGUUAAUUAAGCAUUGAGCUAUCUAAAUCGAAGCUAAACAAUAUAGUCCUGUUGCGUGUGAUAAAAUAGUUAGAUAGCUAGUGACAAGCGAGGAAUAGCUUAGUGGAAGGUCCCUCCACAUCCACCAAGAGGCCAGGAGUUCGGGUCAACAAGAGAGCAGAUUGAAAAAUGGCAGCUGUAAAAAACUAAAAAUGAUACAUCAAAGGAUCUAUCCAAGAAUAUGAAGAAAAAACUAUGUACGCCUAGUUGCGAAGUCAAUUUGAGGACACCAAUAUUCCUUUUUUAAUUUGCUCUUAAUGAAUUAUUCUCUUUUUUUUUAUAAAAAGAAAGCCUAGUCUUCAGUGAUGCGUAAGAGUUGGAGUUUGAUGAAAAACUAUGUGGUGCUGUAGAUUAAUGAGACGUCAAAGUUGCAAAUUGUAGCUAUUUUCCUAAAAUAGUAUACCCUAUGUACUAAAUACAAAAAUAAGGACCUCAUAACCCCUUAAAGAUACCAAACUGUACUUUUUAGACAAUCCAUGUAUGUUAUACACCACAUUACAAACGUUAUAAAUUUGUUUUUAUUUAAAAGUGUUAGUUCUAAGUUUCUCCUAAUAUUUGGCCUAAGAUAUCGGGAAUACUAACUAUAAUAAUAAGUGAAAUGCUGAGGAUUUUAAUUUGUAAAUUUAAAAAUAAAUCACUCGAUAUUUUCCAAGAACAGGAAAUUACUUUGGUUUUUGAAGCAUACACUUCACAUAUAGAGAUGAACAAAAUUAAGAAACGGCCAAUACACAACGAUGUCUUGAAAUUUUAAUUGUAGUUCAUUGAGAAAUUAGAAUAUGUCACAUGGUUUUAUCUAAGUAUAUCUUUUUUCUUAUAAAUUAUCUAAGUACAUCUCUUUUGAUGAAAGAAUACAACCAUUAGAACAAGAAUUAAUAGGAGUCACCAAUCAUCUCUCAGGCGAGGACCUCUUUAUUUCUAACUCAUUUCCUCUUUCCUGUGAAAAAAGGAACUACUUAGAAGUUCUUUUUAAUUAUUAAGUAAUAAGCCUUGGGCAAUCACAUUCUCUAUCUAACGUAUUGUUUGGAUAGUUGUUACCCAUUGUAUUGUAUUGUUACCUCAAAUACAAUGUUUGUUUUGAUUGUUCAUAUAAAACUGAUUGUAUCGUAUUGUUAAAUUCAUUGUUCUGAAGCAAUGAAAAACCUCAUUUUAUAAAACAACCAAAUCGUUGUGGUGGGAUUGUUUCGUAUUUUUCUUUCUAAUUACGCCCACACUAAUUAUUCCAUAUUUCAAUUUUACCCUUUACCCUAUUAUUUAUAUUAUACUUCACUCAACUACGUGUUUUGUCUCCAUCCUUCUGUUGUUUAUUUUUUUUGGUUAGUUUCCCUCUUUUUUUUUCUGUAUUUUUAUCUCAUCUAUGAUCUUUGCAAACUUUUUGCGAAUUCUAAUUACAUAUAUAAUUUACUCUCUGUUUUGAUGGGGCUAUAAUAUAUGUUUUUUUUUAUUUUGUAUGAAACCAAUUUGGUGCUUUCGUUACUAUGGUAGAAUGAUGAUUCCAUGCGAGGAAGAUGGGGAGGUCAAAUAAAUAAAUUAUUUUUAUGAGUUCUUAAUAAGCAUCGUAUUUACAAUAAUUGAGGGUAUUUUAGUAAAUAUAGCAGUACAGUACAAUAGAAUACAGUCAAACAAAAUAAUAAAGAUGUUAAUUAACAACAAACGGUACAAUCUAUCCAACCGUUGUAUCCAUCAAAUGAUACAAUACACUACAGUAUAAAAUGACGGGUAACAAUGAUCCAAAUAGAGUGUAAGUCAUACAGUUCUGUAAAGAUAUAUUUUAAUCUCAUUCUUAAUCAACUACACCUCUACACCUCAACCCAUGCUAGUUGGGAGCAUCUAUACAAAAGGAAUUGCAAAUUACUUAACAGCACAAGAGAACCCCAAAAAAUCUGAUCAAAGAAGAAAGCCCCUAAACUUUCUGAACCAAUGAUUUCGUUCUUUUUUUUUUUUGAAGUUUUGGCUCCCAAAAGGUUGAAAGUAGCCAGGAUCAACUGUGAUAAGAUGCAAGCUUGAUUGUUUCAAGCUAAGAUACUUCUAUUAAACAAGCUAAACGUGAAAUGUUGACGGAGAUUUAGGAUUUCUGGCUGAACGGUCUAUUUUACACUACGAUUGUAGAAUGCAUGCGGAGCUAUAUAGCUAUAAACAACCAUUAAUUUUCUUGAAACCAAAAGAUAGACAGAGCCUAACCAUUAUGAAAUUAAGCUACACAGAUAAAAGAAAAAUUGAGGGCUUACCUCAAUAGAGGCUUUCUUGGCAACAUUUGUCCAAUCCUUAGCUGCAACACCAGUUUUCCACUCAAAAUCAACAGUCAACUUAACCGGAGGCUUGUGAUCAGCAGCAACAAAGCAAGACUGAUAAUCCCCAGCUUCCACAGUCUCAAAAGAAAAAUGCCCCUCAUGGACAUUUUCCGCAUAGUGAUAGCUAUUUCCAUGUUCAGAUGUUGCCUAAAGCACAAAAAACAAAGAACAGAUAUCUUCUCAGCUAAACCAGAAGAAAUCCAGAUAAUCAAAGUAAUGUAUAUGGAAGAACAAGGACAAUUUUUAAACUCUGAAUAUGAAACCAUCAGAACAAAUUACCUUAAUACGCGAAUAUAAUGUAACUGAAUACAAAAGAUUCAUAUAGCAGACACCAACUAAUUCGGAAGUGAAGCAUAGUAGACUGAUUGUCUGAAUGAUAUUAGAACACAUUCCAUUCUUGAUAGAUUGAAAGUGCAUAAAACUGUAAAACAAACAGAACUUGUUUUGACUAAUCUUCCGAAUUUAGCCGAUGAGUACAGAGUCAACGCAAAUCAGCUGGACAAAUCUUGACCAACCAUAAUUUCCAAAUGAAGCUUUAAGCGAUUUAGCAUAUCCCAUCAGGAAAAUGCAGGAAAAUCCAUAGCUUUAACCGACACAUCUAUCAUAAAAAGCAAAAAUACUUGUACUAGUCUUAGAUAGAAUUUCUGGUUCCAAAUUCAAGAUCAAACACAUUUAAUAUUUUGUAGAGACUCGAACAUCAAAAUUCUUAAACUAUCCUAGAAACAAGAUUUUUAUACUAAAAAUUACAUAAAAAUUAAAUUUUUUUCCCCUACCAGUACACCAUAUAAAGCUCCAAUCAAGUAAAACCAGUUGCUAAUUGGAAAAAAACAAAAUAAUCCCAUUUGUUUCCUAGCUCAUAAAAUCUAUGAAAAUUGCAACAACAAAAAAAGGUAAAUAUUUACCCUGACGGUGACUUUGUGGGUAUCAGGCAAAGGAUGACCAUCAUUUGGGUUAAUGAUAUGAUAUUUUCCUACAGUCAUGGAAUGACCUUUGAUUUCUUCAGAUAUGCAUUUUGUAUGACCUGAUUCUAUUUCAAAUCGUAGAGACUGAAUUUGGGUCAACGAAAACCCAAAGAUUAGAACAAGAAAUAGUGCAUUACUUCUCAAAAUCAUCAUUUUCUUGUUUGAGAAGAAAUAAAGGACAAUAAUCAGAGUGGAAAAUUGCUAGAUUUUUGGGUGCAAGAUUGAAGUGGAAAGAGCCUUUGUUUUAGGGAAGAAGUUCAGUUGAAUCUUUGAGAUGACAAACCGAGGAGACAAUGAAACGGGAUUGAAGAAAGUCAAAGACUCAGAUUUCUUUGAUCUAUUUUCUUCUUCUUUUCUGUUUUGCACAUUCAUUUGGCUUAUUUUGUUAUUGAUUUUAAAUCACUUUCUCAUGUCGAUCGGAAGUAGUAGUGAUAACAUGAUGAGACUACUAGCGUGUUUCACCAACCCACAAAAAUUAAUUUUAUUUAAAAGUCCUUUGUAAAAAAUAUUUAUAUUUAAUUAAUUAAUUAAUUUAAAAAGUAUUUUUUAUGCUUAAUUAAUUUUUGAAGAAUACUUUUGAAGAAACAUUAUUUUUUUCUGCUUCUGCUUUUCUUAAAAAAGGAUUUUCUUUCAAAAACUUGGGCAAACAAUUCAAUUUAGAAAAACAAUUUUUUUUUGGAAAAGUACUUUUUAAGAUUGAAAAAGUUUGACCAAACAUCCUAAGGGAGAAAAAGUACACAUUAUACCUUAGUAAUUAAAAAAAUCAUACGUAGACUGUUCUAAUUUAUAAAUUCUAUUUUGCUUUUCAAUCACUUUAAAAAUAUUCUUUUUUAUUUUUAGUAACUCUUUAACAUUAAUAUUUUAUAUGCCAGAACUAAAACUACAAAAUUCAAAUGUCAUUCUAAUUAUUUUAUCCGUAAUUUCGUGUCGUUAAAUUAAAAUACAAAAUGAAGUCAAAGGAGUGCAUAUAGUCUCUUUUUUUUUCCAUAGGAGUAGUUACUUAGAAGGAGCAAACAAUGUCGAAUUCCACGGUAGCUAGGGGGUGUCAAUUGGAGUCCAAACUCAUUUAAUUCGUCACAUUCAUCCAUAAAUUAAUGGAUUAGGCUAUAAAUAUUCUAGACAAAAUUACAUAAUAAUGCACUCUAUAAAUUGACCUUGUACUAUUUCAACUCAGUUACAAGUUUGUACUAUAAGUUGUACUAUAGGUAUACUGGGAUUUAGCUCAUAAAGAAGACAAGUUGUAGAUUAGGUGGAUCAAUGCCUACUACACCAAACAUCAACAGAUUCUGACUAUGUCUAUCCCAAAGCAAGCUAGUUGGAUGGUUCGAAGAAUAAUUGCUGCCAGAAAUGUCCUACAACAAACUCAAUGCUCUAGAGGCGACAAAGAGACUAUCAAACAUAUAUAUCUACAACUACUGGGAGACUUACUAAGAAUAAGUUGGAAGAGCUUAGUAUUUCAGAAUUCUGUUAGACCAAAGGCUAUCUUCAGCAUAUGGUUAAUGACACAUAGAAGGCUGCCUAUGAGAGAUAGAAUAACAAACUGGGAAAUGACCAUUGAUCAAAGUUGUGUUUUAUGUCAAUGACAACUAGAAACAAGAGAUCAUUUGUUUCUGCAUUGUCCUUAUGCAAUAGAACUAUGGAGUAAAAUAUGGAAAUGGAUUCAGGAGGACCAAGGAAGCUACAAUAAUUGGUAACAUCAUCUGCAAUGGAUUAUCAAGAAAGCAAAAGGGAAAUCCAAACAGGCCAGUAUUUGCAGAUUGGUAUUCACAGAAACGUUCUAUGCAAUAUGGCUGGAAAGAAAUAAUCGUAUCUUUGAAAAGAUAUAUCGUCACAAUGAUAGUAUAGUUCGAGAGAUAGUCUUAUUUGUAAUGUUAGAGUGGAACCUAAAGCUAGAAGCCAAUUACAGAAUUACGUAGUAGUAUAGAAAAUAGCAGGUUGUAUAGUCAUUUGAAGUAGAUUAAAGAUACUAUUUUUUUGUUGAGAUGAUCAUCACAGUUUGAUGUUGAUUAUAGUUUUGUAAUGAUUUAACUUUGACAAUUAAUAUAAAGAAGAUUAAUUACCAAAAAAAACUCAGUUACAAUUUGUAAAUGUGUAGUCAAAUAUCAAUAAGUUCUUUUCUUUUCUCGUUCCAUCUAAUUAUAACAACCUUAUUUAUUCCUACCUAUCCCUAUCGUAGCUCUCUCCUCAUUUUUCACCCAUAAAUAUUUAAUUUAAUUAAUGAAAAAGAAUCAUAUGCAAACAAAUCGGAAAAAAAUAGUUCCUCACUCAGUCAAUACUCAUUCGUGCCUUCUUCCAUAACUAAUACUUCUCUAUUUUUUAUAUUAAUUUUAUAUAUCUUCAGGUUUAUACAUACCUAACACAACUAUAAAACACAAAAAUAGACGCGAGAAACCUAAAAUCUCAUCUCCUUUAAUGUUAAUCUUAAAUUUUAAUUAUGAUUUUGUGAGAAAUUUAGAGCGGGUAUUGUUUGAAUUUAUUAGAAAUAAUCUAAGUAGGUUGUAUACAAAGUUUGAAGUUAUUUGCUGGAGAUUUAGACUACUUUUAUAUAAGAAAUUGCAAGUGAAAAUCGUACAAAAAUUUUGUCAGCGAUGCUUAUACGCUUUUAUACAAAGAGGUACAAUAUGUAUAUAAUUGUAUAAAAGUAUAUAAAGAUACAUAAUCACAGAAUAAAAAUAUUCUCGAUACACUAUAUAUAUAGAUGUAUAAUAAGAAGAAUGCGAAGAAGAAGAAGAAGAAGAUGCGAGAAAUUCACCAAAUACCUGUAAAUAAUAUCAACCUUAGAUAUAAUAGUGUAUAAGUUGUGUUUGUAUACUAUUACAUACUAUUUAUACAAUAUUAUAUAUUAUUAUAUAAAUGAAUCUAUCAAUGGAGUUUCACGUGUUCUUCUUCUUCCUUGGGCAUCCUCUUAAAUUUAACUCAAAUAGCCUAAUGCUAUUCUAAAUUUAAGUUUUAAACUCAUCUUGAUGAUUCCAAUUAAUUGAGACAACACACAUUCCAAACAACUAACAAAUCGAGAAACUCAAUUUUUGAUUAACUCAAAUAGCCUAAUUCUACUCCAAAUCACUUGAAAUUUAAGUUUUGAACUUAUCUUGAUGAUUCCAAUCAAUUGAGACAACACUCAUUCCAAACAACUAACAAAUUGGAAAACUCGAUUUUUGAAGUUUAACCCAAAUAUAUCCUAAAUCUAUUUUGAAUCACUUGAAAUUUAAGUUCUAAACUCAUCUUGAUGAUUCCAAUCAAUUGAGACAACACCUAUUCCAAACAAUCAGAAAACUCAGUUUCUGAAAUCAAAUCUUUGAUUCAUUUGUAAUGGUGACUUUUAUUUUUUAAAUCUUUAGUUAAUAAUUGAAAUCCAGAAAAAAAUUGAAGGAGAAUACAAUAGCAGAAAAUCUUGUGGUGCAAAGGCUGAUAUGGGAAUGAGAAGAAGAAUGAGAAAAGAGGAAUGAAGAAAAAUGGGAACGAAGAAAUAAGGGGUAGGCUUGCCGGUGAAAAUUAAUUUUCAGAUUAUGUACAACCUGGGCUAUACUGGGUAAGGGCUUCAAACAUAGGCUAUUUUUUGAUGAGUUUUUGGGCAAAGUGACAAGGAAUAUAAUUCUCCCAAUAUUUUAGCGCAUGAGUCUAUUUGGAUUGAGCCUAAAUUAACCCAUCAUUUUUUAUAGCCUAUCCUGACUCAUGAAAUAAACCCAAAUACAAUCAUGAAGCUCAUCCAAAAUAAAGGGAUCUCAACCCAACUUAUUUGGUAAUUUACUUAGUUGUCCCAUCAUUAGUUUCUGCAUCUAAGUUUAAAAAUGAGAAUCAAGGUGUAUAAGUUUAAUAUGAAUAUGGAUAAUUUUGUAAUUGAGUUGUGGUGAAAUUUACUUAUUUAUAAAUAACAUAAAAAAUAUUUUUUAACUUACAAAUUUGAAAACUAAUUUGUUAUUUAAGAAAAUAUAUUUUGAUUCUCAAAAUAUUAUUAGUAUUUUUUUACCUUUUAUAUAUAUAUAUAUACAUACAUAUAUAUAUAUAUAUANNNNNNNNNNNNNNNNNNNNNNNNNNNNNNNNNNNNNNNNNNNNNNNNNNNNNNNNNNNNNNNNNNNNNNNNNNNNNNNNNNNNNNNNNNNNNNNNNNNNNNNNNNNNNNNNNNNNNNNNNNNNNNNNNNNNNNNNNNNNNNNNNNNNNNNNNNNNNNNNNNNNNNNNNNNNNNNNNNNNNNNNNNNNNNNNNNNNNNNNNNNNNNNNNNNNNNNNNNNNNNNNNNNNNNNNNNNNNNNNNNNNNNNNNNNNNNNNNNNNNNNNNNNNNNNNNNNNNNNNNNNNNNNNNNNNNNNNNNNNNNNNNNNNNNNNNNNNNNNNNNNNNNNNNNNNNNNNNNNNNNNNNNNNNNNNNNNNNNNNNNNNNNNNNNNNNNNNNNNNNNNNNNNNNNNNNNNNNNNNNNNNNNNNNNNNNNNNNNNNNNNNNNNNNNNNNNNNNNNNNNNNNNNNNNNNNNNNNNNNNNNNNNNNNNNNNNNNNNAUUCACGAGUAAAGGGCUUUGUUUAUGCAAUAUGAGCAUGAUUCUAAAAUAGUAAAAAUAGCAUAGGCUAGCCAAUUUUCGGAUUGGUCAUUAAAAAAUAGCCAGCAUUUGCAAAGUCAUUAAAAAAUAGCCACUAUUUUGCUGCAACACGGAAAAUUCUAGCAUAAUAUACUGGAGAUCGAUGUACAUGGGUAUAAACUUCCAGCAUAUUAUGCAGGAACUCUAACACGCGGAAAGUUCCAAUAUAAUAUACUGGAGACUGGAGCAUCGGUGCUCCAAUCUCCACUAUAUUAUGCUGAACCGGUAUAUCAUACUGGAACUCCAAUAUAUUAUACAUGAGUCCUAUGUAUACUUAUGCUAGAACUCCAGUAUAAUAUACUAGGGUUCCAGUAUAUUAUACUGAAGUAUUUUUACGGAUAUUGAAUAAUGUUAUUGUUCGGAUUUAUCUUUACAUGAAAGUGACUAAAUUUCGAUUACUUUUAAAAUUGUGACUAUUUUUGAAUGACCAAUUGUAAAUCUAGCUUUUUUUGAAUAUUCCUCCAAAAUAUCCGUCAAGUUUGGCGGGUUGGGCUAUGACACAUUGUUUAGCCCAUCUUGACCCAACUCAUCUUAGUCUAAAUAUAUUUUGAAUUGAGUUGAGUAAUGACCCAUUUAUCAACCUAAUCCUUUUUGAUCCGUUUAAAUUUAAUCCAACUCGCUCAUUUGAUACCCUCAAACGUUAGUUAUGCAAAAAAUGGCUAACAUUUACAUUUAUGUCCAAUUAACUGAAGAUGUUUUUUUUUCUUCUGUUCCUUUUGGUGAUAAUAAAAGAUAGAUCAACGUUAUGCCUUUGACUUUUAAGAUGUGGACACACGAUAGGUUUUUUUAUCUAUUUAAUAAUUUUAUCUAGCUUUUUAGUUAUGCAUAUAAUAUUUGUUUUGGAGUCUAAAUUAAUCAUAAUUUGCGUCAGGUAAGAUUUAUUAAAAGGUGAAUCGCUUUCUAAUUCAUCUGAAUUUAUUUUACAGUUGUGAGCACUUACUUUUUAACCAUAUUUAGAUUUUUUAUCCAUUUUCUAAAUUUUAAAUAUUUUUUAAGGUUAAUCUACAUACUUUAACCUUUAUUUCACCUUUUAGCAGAUUUACUUAAGAAAAUUGAAAAUCAUAAAAAAGUCAGACUUUUAGAUAUUAGUUUUACUUUUAUUUACCAAAAAAAAAUCACAAAUAAAUAUGUUUUCUUCUUGUGAUAAGUUAGUAUUUUGUAAGUCUUUGUCAGUAAUUUCUUAUACUUUUCUAGGUCUAAGAAUACUUAAUUAAUAUUUACCUCUUUAGUACGGAUAAUAUUUUAAUUUUGUUUGUUAUUCUUUAAAAGAAACUAAACAAGGAAAAAGAGAAAAAAGGACCUGGAGGCAAAAGAAUGCGGCUGAUUCUUCUAGAAAAGGACUAGGGGUGUCAUGGCCCAAUUUCCUACCGUAGCAUGUUGUGAUGAUGUCAAUAUAAAUAAAGAAAUAAAACAAAUAAUACUAAAACUUCAAAUUAAACCUUUACAUUAUUAUAAUAACUCAAUAUAACCAACAUUUUCCAAAAAUCUGAUGGAAUAAAGUCAUAAGCUUCGUACAAGAAACUACUAAUAAUCUUGAUGUACAAUAUUGUUUAAAACAAGAAGUAAACAAUCGAUUAUUUGCGCCAAAAUUUAUGUAAAUGGUAGAGUUUUGAUUAUGAAUUACAAUUAUAGCCUUUUAACAUUUUAACUCUUUUUGAAAUUAAAUUAAAUAAACUUAAUUAUUUCCAAUAAAAUAUUUAAAAUUAUAAACAUCAAAUGUACUAUUAAUUAUUGUAAUUAAUUAUUUAUAAAAUAGUUUAUUUUCUAAAUUAUAGCAUUAAUUUUGAAUUAUUAACAUAGUAAUAUAAUUAAUUAGUAAUUAAAGAGAAAUUCAUUGAAUUGACUAUAGAACCUAUAUUAUGCAUAUGUAAAAAUUAUUUUAAUGAUUUUGAAAUAAUAAUAUAUUUGUAAUUACAUAAUACCAAUACUAAAAUUAUUAAUUUCAACAACAACAACAAUAACUACCCAGUAUAGUCCCACAAAGUGGGGUCUGGGGAGGAUAAUAUGUAGACGAGCCUUACCCCUACCCGAAGGACAGAGAGGCUAUUUCCAAUCGAGCCUCGGCUCAGUGAAGGAAAGGAAAAAUAAAAACAGAAAUUAUUAAUUUCAAAACUAAUAAUACUCAGUUAAUUUAUGAAAUAAGUACUACUGAUAGAAAAUGCUUUCAAAACAUUCAUCGUAAAUUAUUAAUAAUAAGUAUAAAUAAGUUAAUUUUAAAAGAAAGGGUCAAAAUUGACUGUCAACACCUAUGAACUUGGAGUUAUGAUACUGUCACAACCCGGAAUCCCAAAUUGGAGAUCAUGAUGACACCUAACAUUCAAUUGCUAGGCAAGCCAACGUGAGAUAAUUAAAUGACCAAUUUUUAAACAGUUAUAACACAAUGAUAAUAUACAACGAGAAAUAGAAACUCAAUCUGAUACAGUACCAACAUAAGCCAUGUGGUAUAUCUUUUUUGAAAGAUUCAGAGUCACAAGAACUUGAGCAACAUCAUCUUUCGUGUUUUUACUCUCUUUCUCACCAUGUAAUGAUGAUAAUAUGAGUUUAGGAAAUAAAUAAUGCAGAGAAUAUAUUAAACGUCAAAUAUGAUGCCAAGAUUCUAAACUACAACUUCUAAAAUACUCAACAAUUAUGAAAUAUGUAAUAAUUAUGAAAGGAAUAACCAAAGAAGUAAUAACCUAAGCUAAGCGUAGAUAUCAUAUUUAACAAUACCAUAAACACAAGGAAUCAAGUUCUACUCGCAUACUUUAACCCAACAACAAUGCAUAAGAACUUAUCACCUCCCAUAUACAUUGUUCCUACAUAUUAAAGACGUAGUAAAUAGACUAACAAUCCUAAUCCCUCAAGUCAAGGUUAACCACGAAACUUAUAUCGCUCCACAAUCAAAUCGAAGCUCAACUGGAGCCUUUCCUCUAAGUUUCCUCCAGACCAAUUGAAUCUAACGAAAUCUAGUUCAAACAAUUAAAAAUAAGCUUUAGAAACUACCCAUGAGUAAUAAAAAAUUUAAUCUUUAAUGAUUUUGAAACAAGUCAACAAAAGUCAACUCUGAGCCAGCUUGGCUAGAACCCGAGAUUUGGACAAAAAUCCAAUUAUCGAUUCACCCCCGUGCCCGAUUAUAUGAUUAGUUUCGAAACUCGACCUCAAUUUGAGGUCUAAAUCUCAAUUUCUCAAAAUCUUCAAUUUCUGCCAUGAACAAUGUCAUGCCCCAAAUCUGAUGAGGCAUGGUCGGCACUCCGUGCCAUACUUGGCCCGAGCGUACCACUGUGUAACUGAAAACUUUGGAGGGAUAACCCUCAAUUUAGGCCGAUGGGGCAAUAUUCUGAAUCAUAUGAAAAUAUCGACUCUCUUGUUUGAGGGGUAAGCAUACCCAAAAGCUUUUAUACAUAUGAUGAGGCUAUCAUGAACAUCUACUAUUUUAUAAACUAUACAUAACUCGUCUACAAGCCAUUAGAGAUAACUUAACUGUACCAUGGUCAUGAUAGGGCCUCGACCUACCCAUCAAAUAUAUAUAUAUAUAUAUAUAUAUAUAAAAUGGACUCGAAGGUAUAGACUUGGUAACUCCGAGGAAGUGGGGCUUUCCAACCAAGCUAAUGUUUGACUCUGUCUGCUGGAGGGGUCUGUCCAACUGUUAAUGAGGACCUGCAGGCAUGAAAUGCACCGUCCCCAGCAAAAGGGACGUCAGCACGAAAUAAUGUACUACAUAUGUAAGGCAACAGGAUAACUGAAAGCUGAAACUGAAAUGAUAAUAUACUAACUGAAAGUAACUGCGAGUCAAAGAUAAUCUGAAGACAUGCUUACAUGCUAAUACUGGUUCAACUCUUUCAAUUUUGUAAGUAAAAUAGAUGUCCGGCCCAAUAAGGCUUGGUAUAUAUAUACAUAUAACCACUAUGUCGUAAUAGGGUCGCUCAUAGGCGCUCGGCCAUACUAGGCUCUGUACCUCAGCCAUUCUGGGCUUGCUCAUAGGCGUUCGGCCACAGUAGGCUCGGUAUAUAACUCACCAUCUGAUCAGAGGUUGCCCAAUAGGGGCCUACCCAUCGAUUAUAGCUCAAUGGUAGUAAAAAUACUGUAAUAUUGUGUAUAUAUAUAUAUAGACUCUUUGCUCUCUGGGUUGACAGAAGACAAAACUAAACUGAAUAUAAAGUCCCAAUAAGGGAGAAUGCUGUAACUUGUGAGACUAGGAAAAUGUACAUAAAUUCAGGAAUAUGAAUUUUUCUUUAUGUCUCGUUAUCAAACACAUGUACUUACUCGAUCAUGCCAAAAUGAAGGAAAGGUUUAGCCUUUACAUACCUUAUCACAUUCUUUAAAAUGACCAAGUUAAACUCGCCUCUUUACACCUUAAUCUACAAUAAUGAAAAUAUAAAUAUCCUUAAGUUACGAAAGGUACAACUAUCGCACAACGAGCGAUAAGUUUAUUUUGUAUGAAAACGGGCAACAUCUCCUCUAUAAUCCUUACUUCCUCCAAAUUCAAGAUAAUACCAACGAUAAAAGAAAACAACAAUACCAAUAUAUAUACAUUAUUUUCAACCUUAUAUACACCACAAUAUACUACAAAAUAGCCCAACACACCCCAGUCUCUUCAUACACAAAACGAUCACUGAAUUAGUAUAAAACAACCCGAAAAUAUAACAACGAACGACCAGACCUCCACCCUGCAUGUAUGUGGUGUUUCUCCACAUCCUUAAUCCUCCAAAACUCCAAAAAAACAUUACUAAAACACGAAGCCCAAUAGCAACACAAAACAGUCCACAAAAUAAUUCGCUACAAGUAAAUAAUACGAACUCACGGCUUCCGAUCACCGUCCCGUGAGUUCUUGCAACUAUAAAACGGCUUACGAUGAAUUUACAGUAGAAAAAUGAAUGAAAGAGAGCAAUAAAAAUAUCUUAUUUGUUGGAUAAUUCAGCUCCUAACUUGGUUCUUUAAACUCUAGGUUUUACCCCCUCAAUUAGAACUUGAAAGGGAGAGAAAAUCAACUAGGGUUUGCGGGUAAUUUUUGGGAGGAUGUUUGCAGAGGUUUAGGUAUAUUUAUUUGUUAUAUAUAAUGCAGUUUAUAUUGCAGGAGAUAAUCCCUUAAAUAGGCUCUUUGGCUAACCCGAAAUUACCUCUUUUUGGGCUCUCAUUUAACCAAGUAGGUGACAUACCUACUUGUCACCUAGCAGCCUGCGCAGUCUUGCAAUAUCUCUAUACUCCAAUUUGAUAAACGGUAUAAUGCGUUAGAAAAUACACUAAUAGAGCUUCAAUUUGAUGGGUGGAAAAGUAUAUUGGGAGAAAAUCCCAGUUACAUUUGAUCCAAAGUUUCAAUAAAACUUAUGAAUAUAACUUGUGAUGACCUUUUUCAUUUUUUGUUCCUGAACUCGCUUGAUUUCAAAUUAUAACACGUAAAUACGACCAAAAUAACUCAUAACAUAAUCUCCUUUAAUUUUAAACACCCUAUUCUCGCCCCAAAAGUACAUGUUACAACAUGUAUAACUUGUCGACUUUCGACGAAACUUAUUUUCUUCAAUUCAUUUAGCUUCGAAGCCUUCAAACCCUCUUGGUACUUGGUAUUCAUGAUCUUAAAUAGUUGUAACCUGCAUUGUAAUAGGAUUAACUUACUUUAGGUACUUUCAAAGUUGAUCUCGUUUCCAAGCUUACAUUAAUUGACUUACGAAUACUCUCACGUACGAAAAUAUGAGGUGGAACAAUAAAUCAUAGAUUAAAGGCUAGAAAUCAAUGAGUGUUGAUGGAAAUGGAGGACUACGAGUUAAAAUAUACUAUGAAAUUGGGAUGAAAUUCAUCUUCAAAGCUCUCUCUAGGCCGAGCCCAAAUGUGGAGAUGGUGAAAAAUGAUGAAAAUCCAAACAUUGGGAUAUUUAAUUAACUAGGCGUUAGGUCUUCAUCGCGUUCACGAAGGGCCUGACGCGACCGCGAAACACAACAGCCCUAUUGCCCUACGUGUUUGCAAAGGCUUCUCCCCUUGACCUUCACGUUCACGUAGAACACUUAGCAUAUCCCCUCACAGGCCUCUAACCAUCCCGUUCGCGUGGUAUUGGUUGAGUUCGCGAACGGUGAUCCCACCACUACUUCGUAUUCAUGAUCUCAACCUUGCAUUCGCAUAGAGGAAAUCCCACCCCAGCCCAGGUUACCAUUCACGAUGGUGAGAGUAGCUUCACAAUCGCGAAGAACAAAACACCAGACACUAGAAUCUUUGAACUAGCAAUCCUUCUAAGUUCAAAAUCAAUAUGUAGCCUAUUGGAACUCACCAGACCACCAGGGGCUCCAAACCCAAAGUGCACACAAUUGCAAUAACAUCAUACAAACUUUUUCGAUCGAUCAAAAAAGCAAAAUAACUCCUAGAACCACGAAUCAGACAUCAAAAUGUAUGGAAUUUUUUACGAAACUUAAGAACUUUCAAAUUCACAACCGGACGAUAGAAUCACGUCAAAUCAACUCCGUUUUGUACCAAAUUUUUCAAACAUGUCACGAAUAGUAAAAUGAACCUAUACCAAGUUUCAGAACCAAAAUCUGAAUCCGGUAGAAAAAAGUCAACCUACGGUCAAACUUAGGAAUUCUUUAAACCUUCAAAUAACUAGUUUUUAACGAAUCACAUUAUAUUAAGUUAGGGACUUCCAAAUUCGAUUUCACACAUAUUCCCAAGUCUCGAAUCACGAUACGGACCCACCGAAAUCGUCAAAAUAUUGAUCUGAGUCCAUUUUCACAAAAUCUUGACCAUAGUAAACUUAAAUCAUUUUAAGGCUAAAAUUCACAUUUUCACAUGAAAAUUUUCCAAAAAUGACACAAACGACGCACACAAAUCGACAAAUACUACACAGAGCUAUUUAAGGUUUUGAAACACAAAAAUAGAGGUUAAAACUCAAAAUGACCUAUCGGGUCAUCACGUUCUCCACCUCUAAAAUAAAUGUUCAUCCUCAAACAGGCAUAGAAAGGCACCUGGAUUUGUGAAAAGGUGUGGGUAUUGUUGCGCCCCCUUUUUCUCAUGAAAUUGAAUUUAUGACAUUUGGGAGUACAACUCGUUUUCUUUUGGGAUUUGGGUUUGAAUUGAAGAUUGCCACCUAAUGAUUUAAGUGCAUUAUGACACUAAGAAGGGUUUUGAUUUGAGCAACCAGAGAUUGGGUAAGGGCUUGAAAUCAUCCUAAGUUAGAGGUAUUAGGCCCCCCUCAAGAUCCGCUAGUGUGGUUCCUGGCCAAACCAUUGUUGUGACUUUAGGUACAAAUAACACGUAGACAAGUAAGAACUUCAAAUAAGAGGGGAUUUUCACGUAAUGGUUACAAACAAACAAAGUUGGAAAGAAUUAAAGAAAGAAAUAAUUUGAAAAUUUAAAAGAAACAAAGAAACAAAGGAAGGGUCAGGGGUGUCCUAGGUUUAUUAAUAAUGUGGAUCACUCCACAGAACAUCCGAUAAUCACUUCUCAGUGAGGGGCUACACGGGAUGUUAUCGCGUGGCCAUCAUAUCCAUAUCUAUCAUAUCCUACCCCGUUAAAGGUAUUUAAACGUGGAAUGGUCUCGUUUACUUAUUACAUGCUACUACCCACUCCAAUCCUAUUAGUCCCGGAGGUAUUAAGGCUACUAAUCCUAACAGGGAGAGAUUUUAGGUUUGUUUGUAGUUUCAAAAGCAAAAUUCUAAGGCAGCAUACAAAAACAUGUAUAACAAGUUGAGUAGGAGCACAUAACAAGUAAAAAAUACUCAGAUAUACCUCCUUCCAUCAAAGAAGCACAUAGUUAGCAUGACUUAAACAUACUGUUUAGGGCCUGAUUUAAUACUGAAUGUGAAAGAACUUAAAGGUUGGGGCAGACUCAUUUAUUACAUAAUUUAGCUAAGAAGCCUCAACUAGGCCUACCUGCGCGUUGUAGUUAAUAAACAUAUUCAGUUUAUAAUUUUUUGUCACACCCCGAAUCUGACGAGGUAUGGCUGGCACUCGGUGCCAUACUUGGUCCGAGCGUACCACGCAAUAACUGAAAAAUCUAGAGGAGUAACCCUCAACUUAGGCCGAUGAGACCAUAUUCUGAAUCAUAUAAAAAUAUCAACUCUCUUUUCUAAGGGGUAAGCAUUUCCAACAUUUUAUAUAUAUAUAUAGGAUGACGAGGCCGCCAUGAACAUCUACUUAUAUACAAACUAUACAAGACUCAUCUACAAUCCUCUAAAGAUAACUAAACUGUACCAUGGUCGGGACAUGGCCUCGAUCUACCUAUUAAAUUUGUAUAUAUAAAAUGGACUCCAAGGUCUAGACCUAGUAACUCCAAGAAGUGGAGCUUGCCAACGAAGCUGAGGUUUGACUCUGUCUGCUGGGAGGGUUUGUCCAACUGUCAAUGAGGACCUGUAGGCAUGAAAUGCAGCGUCCCCGGCAACAGGGGCGCCAGUACGAAACAAUAUACCGAGUAUGUAAGGACACAGGAUAAGUGAAAGUUGAAACAUAAAUAAUAAUAUAAUAAUUGAAGUAAUUGGGAGUCAAAGAUAAUCUGAAGAUAUGCUUACUUGAUACUGGCUUAACUCUCAAUGUUGUAAGUAAAAUAGUUGUCCAACCACACACACACACACACACACACACACACACACAUAUAUAUAUAUAUAUAAAUAAUUGCUCUGCCGUAGUAGGCUUGCUCAUAGAUGCUCGUCCAUACUAGGCUCUGUAUCUCAGCCAUUCUGGGAUUGUUCAUAGGCGCUCGACCAUAGUAGGCUCGGUGUAUAACUCACCAUCUGAUCAGAGGUUGCCCAAUAGGGACCUGCCUAUUAUUUAUAGCUCAAUGGUAGUGAACAUACUGUAAUACUGUAUAUAUAUAUAGACUCUCUGCUCUCUAGGCUGACAUAAGACAAAACUAAAAUGAAUACGAAGUCCCGAUAAGGGAGAAUGCUAUAACUUAUGAGACUAGGAAAUGUACAUAAAUUUAGGAAUAUGAAUUUUUCUUUAUAUCUCGGUAUCAAACACAUGUACUUACUGGAUCAUGCAAAAAUGAAGGAAAUGUUUCGCCUUAAUAUACCUUAUCACAAUCUUUCAAAUCACCAAGUUGAACUCUCCUCUUCACAUCUUAAUCUAUAACAAUGACAAUAAUACUAUCCUUAAGUUACGAAAGGUACAACUAUCGCACAACGAAUGACAAGUUUAUUUGUAUAAAAACGGGCAGCAUCUCCCCUAUAAUCCUUACUUCCUCCAAAUUCAAGAUAACGCCAAAGACACAAGAAAACAACAAUAUCAACAUAUAUACAUUAUUUUCCAACCUUAUAUACACCACAAAUACUACAAAAUAGCCUAAAACACCCUAAUCUCUUCAUGCACAAAACGACCACAAUAGUAGUGUCAAACAACCUGAAAAUGUUAUAACGGACGACCAGACCUCCACCAUGCAUAUAUGUGGUGUUUCUCCACACCUUUCAUCCUCCAAAACUCAACAAAACAGUAGUAAAACACGAAGCCAAUAGCAACACAAAAUAGUCCAUAAUACAGUUUGCUACAAGUGAAUAAUCCGAACUCAUGGCUUCCGAUCACCAUCCCUGAGUUCUUACAACUAUAUAAUGACUUAACAUAAAUUUACAGUAGAAAAAUGGAUGAAAGGGAGCAAUAAAGAUACCUUAUUUGUUGGAUAACUCAGCUCCUAUCUUGGUUCUUUAAACUCUAGGUUUUACCCCUAAUUAGAACUUGAAAGGGAGAGAAAAUAAAUUAGGGUUUGUGGGUAAUUUUUGGGAGGGAGUUUGCAGGGGUUUAGGUAUUAUUAUUUGUGAUGUAUACUGUGGUUUAUUUUCAAGAGAUAACCCCUUAAAUGGGCUCUUAGUCUGACCCAAAAUUGCCUCUUUUUAGGCUCUCAUUUAACCAAGUAGGUGAAACACUUACUUGUCACCUACCAGCCUGUGCAGUCUUUAAAAAAUAGAUAUAUAUCUCUACUCCAAUGUUGUAUUUGUAAAAGGUUUGAUGAGUUAGAAAAUAGACUCAUAUAGAUUCAAUUUGAUGUGCAUAACACCCCUUAACUCUAAGUAUAUUAGGAGAAAAUUGCAGUUACAUUUGACCUAAUUUUCAGCAUAUUGGUGAAUGUAAUUUGUGAUGAUCUUUGCCAUAUUUUGUUUUACAACUCGCUUGACUUCAAAACAUUACACACCAAUAUUUCACGAGUGAAAUAACUCAUAACAUAACCUCCAUAUCAUGUUAAGAACCCUAGUAUCACCCAAAAAAUACAUGUUAUAACAUCCUAACUUGUCGACUUUCGACGAAACAUUAUUUCUUUAAUUCCUUAUCUUCUAAACCUUCCAACCCUCUUUGUACUUGCCUCCAUCUUUUGUUCCACAACUCGCUUGACUUAAAAACAUAGCACACGACUAUUAUACAAGUGAAAUAACUCAUAACAUAACCUCUAUGUCAUGUUAAGAACCCUAGUCUCACCCAAAAAUUACAUGUUAUAACAUCCCAACUUGUCGACUUUCGAUGAAAUAUUAUUUUCUUCAGUUCCUUAGCUUCUAAGCCUUCCAACCCUCUUUGUACUUACUUUUCAUGAUCUUCAAUAUAUGUACCAUUCGAGGUAACAUGAUAACUUACCUUAUAUUCUUUGAAAGCUGAUCUCAUUUUUUGUCUUACAUUAAUUAAAUUAAGAUAUACUCUUAUAUACGAAAACAUGGGUUGUAACAUCAUUCUCCCCCCCCCCCUUUGGAACAUUCGUCCUUGAAUGUUGGUUGAUACACUUAUCAGUCUCAUAAACCAUAAUUUAUGCAUAUAUUUUAAUAUUUUGCUUGCUAUCUAGGAACUAUUCUUUUAGUAAAUCCGUAGGCUAGGACAUUCCCCCUUUUGACCUCUUUAUCAAUCCACGACUUGUUAUUAAUUUUUCCAAUCUCGUAAUUGUUGCGAUCUUCUAUCAUGAAAUCUAUAUAACUUUGUCCUUGUAUGUGCGCAUAUACGACUAAUCUAUCCUUUUUGCUCCAGUUUUUAGCCAAUCUCCAGGCCUCACUUUGGGACCAUAACUGUGGCAAGUUGCCCCUCUAGUUAUCUAUAGGUGUACUGAAGCCGUUUGCAUGGUACUUUGUCGAACUUGUGACUAUUGUUGUAUCUUGUUUCAUAGCCUUGGAUAUUUAUCCUUAUGGAUUUACUUCAUCUAGGUAGGUCAUAUUAUACCAUAACACAUGCUUUGAUUUAUUAUUGCCGAGUUCGGCUACCAAACUCAAAGAUACUUUCUCGAUGCUGAUCUGAUAUAUAUAAAUCUAAGUCCCUUAAUGCUUUCUCAUUAUUGUGAAUCUUAAUAAUGGCAACCAAAUCUCAUCUUGUACUUUGGAACUUUUAUCCAUCUAUUGUUGAUUCACCUUAAUGUUGAUUUUAAUCUACCACUUAUAACUUGAAACCUCUUAUGUGAUAUAUUGUCACUAGGGCUCACGUCUCAUCGAGGAAUAUCCGGAGUUAUUUUCCUGAUCCACUUAGGGUCAAUACUAUACAUCAAUAACUGUAUUUCAUAGCAUCCCAACGUGAUUCACCUUAUGGGAGUAUUUUAAUCAUGUACAAUUCAUGAAAUCCUUUUUCUUUGAAUCAUUACACAAUUAAUGGCGUAAACGUCAUCCUCUUAUCUAUAACAAUUACACCCUUAUUCUACCACUAGGGCAUCAUUUAUCCUCUUAGUCCUAAACUCCUCUAAGUUCACUCACGCCAUACUGAGCUUUUUAUAACUUAUGGAAACCGUCAGCUCUCUUGUUAUGAUGGGUUUAAUCCCGGUGACUUCCCUAUUCUCGUCACCUUAUCACUCACCUAUUCUUAUCCUUACUCCUAUCUACUUAAAAACCUUGUCACUCUACCAUACUUUAGCUUGCGACCUACAUAUAUUUAUUUAUAGCACUCGCAACCUUCUUUUAAAUUUCAAGCACCAUUGAUUUCCUUAUGUUACUCUGGAACCUCAAGCGAGACAUCAUAUCGUCUCUAACUCUUAUUUACUCUCUUAAUUAGACCUCUUUGUAUCUGGAAACCGCAUGCUGGAAAAUAUGCUACUGAUGACACCACUAUCAUUUCUUGAUACAGAAUUGUGACGCUUCCAGCCUUCUAUCUGAUAUCUGAAUUAUUCAUAAUCUUCUGUACUUGGGCAUCUCGUACCUCCUUCAGAUGUACCUUACUUACCUUUAAAUCUUGCAUUGUAUCUUCUAUCUUUUUCAUAGCUCCCUUCCAUAUAGGUGGAAUUCAUAUCCACACCUUAAAGCUCUACUAUAAUACUUGCACAUCAUGUGCAUACACAAUCCACCAAAACAUUCAUACUGACUUCUUAUGAGGUUGGUACUAUUCUAGCUAGGUUUAUCGUAGAGCGGUUAUAGAAUAUGUCUGUUGUAGUAUCUAUUUUUACCUUUGAUAUUUAGAGUGAUUCUAGAAUGUUUUGAAUGACGAUUUCCAUACUCAUCGGGAUCUAAUAAUCAGACUCCUAAUUCACUUUUCUAAUAUAACUCUGUAGUUUCCUUCUCUAUCUUAGCCUUUAAGUAGGCUUUCUGAUUUGCGGUUUAGGGUACUAGUUAUUAUUUUAGCCCCUCGUCGACGCUAUGGAACAUCCAUGAUAUAACCUUCUAGCAAUUCAAGCUUUUGUCCAUGACAUGGAGUAAAUUCUUUCUAUUAACUUAUACUGGAGUCUCCUAUAACUAUAUCAUUGUCAACAUAUAUGCUGCAUAGAUUACACGUCGAAAUCUUAAGUGUGUUCGUAACGUAACUAACUCUGGGUCAUAGAUUGAAUUAAUCCUUUUGUGCCGUCUCGAUUUUCGUUAAAAGUAAGCAAUUACCUUUCUUUUCCGUAUACCACUUGUUGCAUGAAUACUUGGCUUAUCUUAUUGCCCAUAUAUAUUGUAAUUUUGUGCAGCUCAUAUGAUCUCGAAUAUUACUUUGGAUUUUACUUCGCGUUCCUUAGUCACUAUAGGUGUCGCUUUGUUAUGGAAAGCAUACAAUGUCGUAGUGAGACUGUUGUUCCAUGAUCAUUUUUUCUUUAGGUCAGUAUGCUUAUCUUGAUGCCUUCUUCCUUAUUUCCUGAGCAAGUCUUUCAUUGCAUCACUUAGGGAAGACCCUCUGACUCUUGUAAAGCGAUGAGUUUAUUACACUGUUUACCUGACAGAAUUUUUGAUGUUCUUACUCGCCUAUAAUUAUCCUUAGUCACUUGCCUUUGUGCCCUUGUGCUCGUCAGGUUACUUCUGAACCCAAAUUUUGAUAGUCUCCCCAAUGGCACUAUUUUUUACACAACACUUAUGUUGUACCUUCUACUACCCCAACUCUUAUUUGAAAAUUUCUCGAGGAUUACGAUGUUGUGUUUGAGAGACUGAAUUUUCCCGUUCUAGGUUUCACUAUGUUUAUCUUGCAUGAUCUGUUGAUUUAUUUGAGACCACGUGUCUAGCCAUAACUAGCCUCUUCUUGAAUCAACUACUAAGUACUUUCCAGUCCAUGCUCAUAUCUACAUUCCGUAUACGCUCUCUCAAGUUAUGUCCUUUGUCUUAACUUACCACUUGCACUAACCCGUUAAGUAUCAAGUUUUCAUUCAUACUUAUUUAUCAAUAACAUCCUAGGAGGAACCCUUACUGCAUCUCCCUGCAUCAUUCUUCCAUAAUGGUCUAGAGUCAUAUCAUAUCUGUCUAAUAAAUGCAAUCUCAUCCCAUUUGCCUUUUUACCGUAUUCUUCCUUUAUUACUCCAUAGUUACCUCUUUUCACAUCUUCAUUGACUUCUAGUCGCCUUACAGUAAUCCUUCUAUACCAAGGAUAACUAAAUUCCUUACGCACAAGGGUUACACCUAGUGUAACUGGCACACUUAGUCCCUUAAGCUUAACUUUGCUCACAGUGUUCGCUUUAGGGAAGCGUCUUCUUGAAUGACCUUUAAAGGUUAUUCUUUUGUUGUCCAUUCUAUUACUGACAGAAUGCAAUCUGUGAAAUUUUCACGUUGAUGACUAUUAUCAAAUCCUCUGGUCCCUAACUCAUGUUCAAUUUUAUCUUGUUUACUAGCCCAUAAUAAUUUCUAUUACUCAGAGGGUCUAACUUAGACUUCUAGUAAUCAAGUUGGAGUCACUAACUCAUUUCUGAAAAUAAGGAUACAACUUUGUGGCAUAUACUCUUUUAUUGUCUCAAGGCCUGUCACCCCUUGUCUUGUUCUUCAUUUGACUAUAUACUCUGGCAUCAUAUCAUAUCCCGAUUUACUGUUAUUACUUAUUCAUCAUACCUUAAUUAUAAUGCUUCAUUUACUCUCUUCCAAUUCUUCUUCUAAUAUUUCUGUCUAUCACAUUAUUAUGAAAACCUCAACAAAACAUUGUUUCACUUUUAGCUCCCCCGGCUUAAACCACCAUUUUGGGUUACUCUAACAUAAGCUGGAUCCUGAUAUUCCAUCCUCCUCUUAAACUAUAUAUGUUAGCUCCCAUAGGGCAUAACUGAGAUAGGUGUGGCCAAUUGCACACACCUCUUAUGUUUGAAAGUAAACUGAGAGUACCUGUAUUUCUCUGCCUGAAUUGUAAAUAUUGAUAAUCUCCACUAACUGGGUUCCUCGUACCUUCCUUCACCUUGCUUCAAUUAUAUAUUGAAACUUAAACUUUUACCUUAUGAUACUCCCAGGGCCUGCUAUUCACAGGGUGUAUUUCUUAUUCCAAUCGUAGGGACUUAAGCUGGAAAUUUGCACAUUUGGCAUGCACGAUCUGAUAGGGCCUCAAUUGGGCCACAUUAUAAAGAAUUAUUUCUUUACUAGUGCCCAUACUUGCUUCUAUAUUAGAUCUCUAGCUUACCAUAAUUUUUUUCUAAUUGAUAGCAUCACUAUAUUAUUAGCAAACAUAAGUCUUGGCUCGAACUCUUAUAACUCAGCUCUAAAGCACGAUUUGGAUUCAAAAUAAGGGUAAGAGACUCUUAAAUGCCUUGUAGCUUCCUGCUUAUAUAAUAUGGUGCACAACACAUCUAUAAACAUGGCUCUUCUAAACACAGCAUGUAGACUCCCUAGGAUAGAACUACUCUGAUACCAAGUUUGUCAUACCCCGAAUUUGACGAGUAAUGGCCGGCACUCGGUGCCAUACUUGGCCAUUGCGUACCACUCUAUUACUAAAACCUCUGGAGGGGUAACCCUCAACUUAGGCCGGUGAGACCAUAUUCUGAAUCAUAUGAAAAUAUCGACUCUCUUUUCUAAGGGGUAAGCAUAGCCAAAAGCUCAUAUAUAUAUAUAUAUAUAUAUAUAUAACUGUGGAGGUUGACGAGGCUAUCAUGAACAUCUACUGAUAUAUAAACUAUAUAUGACUCGUCUACAAGAAAACUGUACAGGACUCAUCUACAAAUCUCUAGAGAUAACUGAACUGUACCAUGAUCGGGGCAGGGCCUCGACCUACCCAUUAAAUUUGUAUAUAUAAAAUGGACUCCAAGGUCUAGAACUGGUAACUCCAAGGAAGUGAAGCUUACCAACGAAGGUGAGGUUUGACUUUGUCUGCUGGGAGGGUCUGUCCAACUUCAAUGAGGACCUAGGCAUGAAAUGCAGCGUCCCCAGCAAAAGGUACGUCAGUACGAAAUAAUUUACCGAGUAUGUAAGGACACAUGAUAACUGAAAGAUGAAAAAAAAGUAAUAAUAUAAUAAUUGAAAGUAACUGGGAGUCAAAGAUAAUCUGAAGAUAUGCUUACCUGCUGAUACUGGCUUAACUCUCUUAAUAUUGUAAGUAAAAUAGUUGUCCGGCCCUAUAAGGUUCGAUAUAUAUAUAUAUAUACUCUGCCCUAGUAGGCUCGCUCAUAGGCGCUCAGCCAUACUAGGCUCUAUAUCUCGGCCAUUCUGGGCUUGCUCAUAGGAACUCAGCCACAGUAGGCUCGGUAUAUAACUCACCAUCUGAUCAGAGGUUGCCUAAUAGGGGCCUGCCUGUCGAUUAUAGCUCGAUGGUAGUGAAAAUACUGUAAUAUUGUAUAUAUGUAGAAUCUUUGCUCUCUAGAGUGACAAAAGACAAAACUAUACAAAAUAUGAAGUCCCGAUAAGGGAGAAUGGUGUAACUUAUGAGGCUAGGAUAUGUACAUAAAUUCAGGAAUAUGAACAUUUUCUUAUGUCUUGUUAUCAAACACAUGUACUUACUGGAUCAUGCAAAAACGAAGGAAAGGUUUCACCUUCAACAUACCUUAUCACAAUCUUUCAAAUUACCAAGUUGAACUCUCCUCUUCACACCUUAAUAUACAAUAAUGACAAUAAUACUAUCCUUAGGUUAUAAAAGGUACAACUAUCACACAACGAACGACAAGUUUAUUUUGUAUAAAAACGGGCAGCAUCUCCCCUAUAAUCCUUAUUUCCUCCAAAUUUAAGAUAAGACCAAUGACACAAGAAAACAAAAAUAUCAACAUAUAUACAUUCUUUUCCAACCUUAUAUACACCACAAAAUACUACAAAACAGCCUAACACACCCAAUCUCUACAUACACAAAACGACCACCAUAGUAGUGUCAAACAACCUUAAAGUGUUAUAAUGAAGGAUCAGCCAUCCACCCUGCAUAUAGGUGGUGUUUAUCCACACCCUUAAUCCUCCGAAACUCCAGAAAAUAGUAGUAAAACACGAAGCCCAACAACAAUACAAAUCAAUCUACAAAACAGUCCACCACAAGUGAAUAACUCGAACUCACGACUUCUGAUCACCGUCCCGUGAGUUCUUACAACUAUAGAAUGACUUACCAUGAAUUUACAGUAUAAAAUGGGUGAAAGAGAGAAAUUAACAUACCUUAUUUUUUGGAUAACUCAGCUCCUAUCUUGCUUCUUCAAAAUCUAGGUUUUACCCCCUAAUUAGAACUUGAAAUGGAGCGAAACUCAAUUAGGGCUUUUGGGUAAUUUUUGGGAGGAAUUUUGCAGGGGUCUAGGUUUGAUUAUUUGUGAUAAUACUAAGGUUUACAUUGAAGGAGAUAAGCUCUUAAAUGGUCUAUUUGGCUGACCCAAAAUUGCCUCUUUUUGGGCUCUCAUUUAACCAAGUAGGUUACACACCUAUUUGUCACCUAGCAGCCUGCGCAGUCUUGCAAAAAUAUAUAUAUCUCUCUACUCCAGUGUCAUAUUGGUAAAUAGUUUAAUGCAUUAGAAAAUAGAAUCAUAGUGCUUCAAUUUUAUGGGAAGAACACCCCAUAUCUCUGAGCAUAUUAGGAGAAAAUCGCAGCCAUUUGACCUAAGUUUCAGCAUAUUGGUGAAUGUAACUUGUGAUGAUCUUUGCCAUCUUUUGUUCCACAACUCGCUUGACUUAAAAACAUAGCACAUGACUAUUAUACGAGUGAAAUAACUCAUAAAUUAACCUCCAUAUCAUGUUAAGAAUGCUAGUAUCACCCGAAAAGUACAUGUUAUAACAUCCCAACUUGUCGACUUUCGACGAAACAUUAUUUUCUUCAAUUCCUUAGCUUCUAAACCUUCCAACCUUCUUUGUACAUUCUUUUCAUGAUCAUCAAUAUAUGUAAAAUAUGAGUUAACAUGAUGUGGUGUAACAUUUUUACACUAAGCCUUGCCUAAGUGUUAAACGAGGAUUUUAUAGGCAUGGUAUCUACAGAUUUUGGAGAACAAUAAAUUAAAUAUAAUACAUAAUCAUUAAAAAGUUGCCAGAUUAUUUUAAAAAAAGCUAUGUUUUAGCAAAAGAUUACAAGUUCUGCAAAAUGAAGAUACAUUGCUGUUAUAGGUUUUAGCCUAAUUCGUGUAUGAAGCGAUUCAGAUUCGAUUAAUAGCUACUACAAACAUGAUUUCUAUGCAUUUUUAAUUUUAGACCCUUUUAUAUCUAGGUGCUAAAUUUCGUAUAAAGCCUAUGAAAAUGACAUGUAAUUGCAGUUGAUGGUUUAAGACCUAUGAGCAUGAUUUCUAGAUGAAAAAUGGAUGUAUAAGAUUCAGAGGGACAUAUAGGCAUAUUCUCUAUAUGCAUAUGCAGCAUUCAGAAAUACCUAUAGACAUGGUAUCUAUGUGAGAAGUGCAGAAUUUCAAAAGUACUUAUCAGCAAGAUAUCUAUGUGAGAAUGCAGAAUUUUGGAAAUACUUAUAGACAGGAUAUCAAUGUGAGAACGCAAAAUUUCAGAAGACGUAUAGGCAAGAUAUCUAUUUGAGAAUGCAGAAAUUCAGAAAUACCUAUAGGCAUGAUAUCUAAUUGAGAAUGCAGAAUUUCCGAAAUACCUAUAGGUAUGAUAUCUAUUUGAGAAUGCAAAAUUUCAGAAAUACCUAUAGGUAGGAUACCUACCCUUUGUAUACAUUAUUACCCACCUUUUUCAUUAGCUAUCCCCAAGAGUUUAUUACUAAAUUAUUACAACCUAGAAUAAAGAUAAAAGAAUACAUCAGAAAUAAAAAAGUACAAUCAAGGCGAGCCUGAUUCAGACUUUAUGUCUGAAAUAUGAGGUAAACCAACUCCAAAGAGCAUGAUCCAAAGCCUUUCUCCCAUUUGGAUGUGUCAAAGUUCCCUAAGAGCCUCAAAGGGUACUCCGAGCAAUGCUCACACCGAAAUGUAUCACCAGAUUAAGACAUAGUACAGUGUGGAAAUACCAGCCUUUAAGUGUCCAACUUUAGAGGGAACUCAAGGUCCCAUGGCAAGACUUACAAGAGGAGGACAAAACUUAAAACUAAUAGAGAGUGCAAGUGCAGACUUCUGAGAGAGGAAUUAAGAAAUAAGCAGUUACAAGUAGGUGCACACAUGGGUUUAGGGGAAUGGAUAAUUGGAAAGUCUAGGCAAGCUAUGGGCAUGCCCAGAAAUGGAGAGUGCUAGUAUACCCAAAAGCCUACUAGAACACACUAUUAGAGGUUAGGAUCCCAAAUGGUCAAGUUUUGUUCAUGGACAAUAAUUUGAAUAUUGUCAUGCCUUAAACUAUAGCUCAAACACAUAGGGGCAGGGGUUUUGGGAUUCAUAAUAGGAACAAACAGAAGGAAAUCUACAUGCUAAUUUAGGUGUUGAAUUCUACAGAAAUAAUAAAUAGACAUGGAUACAAAAGCAGUAAAUACACAUUGUUGUGGUGCUAAAGAUUAAAUCUGGACAUACUAGUUUUAAAGAGACAAAUUGAGAAAAGUAGUUGGUCUUGUAAACAUACCACAAUUUAGACAAAAGAGAGAAUACUAUUGUGUAUAAAUGUGAGUUCAGAAAGACUUAUGAAUGAGUGAUGAUGUGUGUUUUUGUCAAUGAAGAGCAGGUAUUUAUAGUGUGAAAACAGGUGGAAAGAAGGUAAGAAAAUAAUUAUGGAACUAGGUAUCAAUUAAAAAUCAAUCAGUAUAAGACUUUAUUUAAUUAAGGAAUAGAAUCAAACGGUAAUGAGCGAGAGUUAUUUAAGAGAAGAAAUCAAAUAAGCAUCUUGUGCAAAGUAGGAAAUUAGGGGUAAAUACAUAGGAGUUUGUUUGAAGGAAGAAUUUUGAAAUACACGGUUAAAAAAAAUAAGGUAAGAAUUAAUUGUACACAGUAAAUCAAAGAGUCCUAUAUUCUCAAUUACUGGUUUGUAAAUAAACCAAGUCAGAAAGGUUAAGGAAAAUUUUUUGAAUCAAACCAAGUAAGAGGGAAAUAAGCUAACAAGGAAUGAAAUCAAUCAGACAUACACAAAGGAAGUCUGGAAUUAUUCAAAAAAUUGAAAGUCAUUUAGAUGGGAAGUUCAACAUAUAUAAAGAGUACACAAGUAUUGGGCAUGCAAUGCUUAAUUUCGGAUAAAGAAAAAGUGUCAUGCAAUCGCAAAAUAUAGGAAUAUGGUAAUCACAUGGCAAUCCAACAACGGAGAAGAGAGAGAGAGAGAGAGAGAGAGAGAGAGAGAGAGAGAGAGUAUCAAAUAGCAUGUGAAAAGGGGUCAAAUAAAAAGGUCUUAUAGAUUUUAGAAAAAGUCAGAAUCAUAUGAAGAAACAAAGUUGAAAUAAUGAUUAUGAAACUCAAUGGAGCAGUAGAUGAAACAACUUCAGGAACUCAAAUAGAUAUAAAAGAUUAGGGAUUUUUUAAAUUAAGCAAGUUUAGAGAUGGAGAACAGGCAAAUCACAUAACCAACGGUCUUAAAAACUUAGAUGAACCCCACAAUUCUAGGGUUCUUACAACUAAUCGAGUGAAAAUAAGUAAAUCAGGCAACGAUACUAACAAAACAAGUUUUGAAAUCUCAGAAAAGAACCGAGACCUUUAAUCAUGCAUUUUACAGUAAAAGGGACUCAUGAAAAACAUAAUAAAAGAACAAUAUAUGAAAUCAGCAGAGGAACUCAUAAGAACAUGGUAGAAGAAAAACAUAGUAGAAGAAACACACACGAAACUCAAAAUAAAAUAAAAUUAGAGAAGCAUCCGAAUAACUUUAACAAAAACCCUAAAUUGGAAAAAGAAAGGUUUCGAAAGCAUAGUUUUGAAAGAAACCUCGAGAAACCGUUUUAAAGUUUAAGGAAAACAUAGAUCUAGAACAGAGCUAAAUAAAUCAGAAGGACCUUAAAAGGUUAGGGUUUUAGAAGAAACCAGAUGGUGAGAAAGGCAUGGAAGAGUCGUUGAUCUAAGUAGGAGAGGUCGAGAUCAGGCUCGAAACAACCAUGGAUUGCCGGAGCAAGGCUAAAGACGGCCUUAGAACUUGAGUCAAACAAAGCCUGGACCAAGAUUCUUUUUGGUCAGGCCUUGAAAUUUACUAACAAAGCGCGUCAGAGUCAUAGGAGGCUAGUAUAGGACUUCGAUGGCCUUUGAAGCCAUGGAUUCCGGUGGUUUAAGGUAGAAGUGGAGGGAGGCGGCUAAGGUUUUUGAGAGAGAUUGACAGAGAGUUGAGAUAAGGUAGGAUUCAAGGGCGGCUACCGGUGAGGAAUGAGUAGGGUUUGGGGGUAUUGGGGAAAUUAAAAAGGAAAGGGAGAGUGUGAGCUAUUGAUCUUUUAGAUCAACGGCUGGGAUUAAAGCGGGCCCGUGCGGGUUAUUUGAGCGGGUUGUGGGUCGGGUAUACUUAAGAUUUGGGCCAGGUAAUGGGGUUUGAAAUUGAGUUCAAUGAGCAGUGCUAAAUCUGGACAAAAUUGAAAUAAAAAUAGGCUAGCAUUUAAAUAGCCAUUUUCCCCUAUUUAUUUUAUGAAAAAUAGCAAAAUAAUUUCUAGAAACAAAUUAAAGGUGAUAAAAUAAUUAAUAAUAUAUAAAUAUUAAACUAAAAAUAUUGGAUUCAAUUUUAUUUCUAUAAAUACAAUUAAAUUUUAAAAUAGGCUAAUAUUGCAAUUAUAUGCAAUUUAGUUUUAGAAGUACUAUAAAUUUGUAAAAAUAUAAAAAAAUCAUACUAGUUAUAUUUUAGUAAAAAUAUUAAAAUCAAAUAAAAGAAUUACCAAAAUGCCAAUUCUGGGAAUACUUAUUGGGUCUUUCUUGAUAAAAAUAAGGCAAUAAAUUGAUUUAAAAAUCUUUGAACAAUUAAGAAGAAAAUAUAGUGUAGCCUUGGAAGAUACUUAUAUGUGCAUAUAUACAUGCUAUUUUAAAGGGUAUAUUAUAUGUAAAAAUAUAGGGACAAAAUUAGGCAUCAACAACCACCUCUCUUUACCUGGAAAGGAUAAAAGAGUUGUCGGGUUAAGAUACGAUGGCCAAUUUUGACCGAACGAAAGGGAUUUGAAAAGGUUUGGAAGCUCCCUGGUUCCUGAGUCCCCUACAUAUCCACGGUCUUACAGGAAUCAGGCCAUAUGUAGUUGAGGAUCCAUCGACGAAGUAUGCCGAUGGAGACUUUCAAGAACGGGCACAAUAUUUAGGAUGGGGUGAAUGGUUGAAGUCUAUAAGGCUGCAGGAACUGGAGCGGAAUCGCUCCUACCAAGAUGGUCAUUGCUCGCUAGUUUACCUGCAAAUAAGUAACACAAGCGUAUAUUAUGCGUAAAUUUCAACAUGAUGCAAUUUCCCGUCGGACCAUGAAUAUUUUCAUUGGACAGUUAGGAUGACGUCCUCAGACCAUGACGCCCUGGGCCAUGAAAUGUAUAAUAAAGGACUUGCAGGCCAUGAAAUGAUGUUCCUUGGGAUAUGAGAAUGAUGCCUCUGAACUAUGAUUCCUUUGAAUAAUGAUAUGCGAAAGAUAAGAGGGGUCCUUGGGCCAUGGCAUGGUGUUCUCGGGAUAUGAAAAUGGUGCCUCCGAACAAUGACGCCUUUUGGAUAGUUUGGUGAUCUUUCAGCCCAUGAGAUGCAGUAUUUGGAGAUCUUUUAGCUGUGAAAAAUGUGAAUAAAGUUGCGAUAUUUCAGCCAUGCAAGUGUAGAUAAAGUGGCGAUCUUUGAUCAGACGACAAUGUAGAUAAGGCGACAAUCUUUCAGCCAUGUAGAUGCAAAUAGGGUGGCGAUCUUUCAGCCAUGCAAGUGCAGUAUUUGGUGAUCUUUUAGCCGUGCGAAUGUAUAAUUAGGUGGCGAUAUUUCAAUUGAUGCAAGAUGUAAAGUAAAGUGGUGAUAUUUCAGCUAUGCAAGUGUAAAGUAAAGUGGCGAUAUUUUAACCAUGCAAAUGGAGGCAGAGCUUAGUCUAGGAAGGAAGAAUAGUAGCCUUAUGCAAUGAAGAAGAUGCAGAUGGAGACAGAGCAUAGUCUCAGAAGGUAGAAUGGUAGCUUUAUGCAACGCAGAAAAUGCAUAUAGAGACAAAGCUUAGUCUCGGAACGCAGAAUGGUAGUCUUAUGCAAUGUAGAAAAUGCAGAUAUAGACAAAGCUUAGUCUCGGAAGGUAGAAUGGUAGCCCUAUGCAAUGCUAAAUGCAGAUGGAGAUAGAGCUUAGUCUCGAAAGGCAGAAUGGUAGCCAUAUGGAAGAAGUAAAAGGGCAAAUGAUAAUGGGAUUUCUUAGCUGAUAGCGGAUUGCAAUAUUGCCACUGCUGGGGAUACUAUGUCUGCUAGGGACGAUGCGUGCAGAUAGCGACAAUGAGUAAGUGUGACGGUUUUGAGAGUUGUAUUCUUGAAUAAUAUGAGUAUAUAACAUAUUCGUUGAUUUUUGCAACUCAGGUGCCUCCGUCCAAAGAAAAAUCAUGAGUUUUGUAAAGGGGAAAUGUUAGUUCACAUCCCCGCUGACAUUGCUUGAUCUGCUUGAUUUUCUGAUCUGGUGAUACUGUACGUAUCAUUGGGGUAGCAUUGCUAAAAAAUGAUUUUGAUAACAGACAUGCCUGAUUUAGUAAAAUAUAACAUAAAUGCAUAAUUAAGAAUAUCUUUCUUUAGACGAACCGACGACUGCGACGUGGUUCAACACAUUGCGACCUUUUUUUCUACGGAAUUUUGAGAGUCCUCCUCAAAAUUUUUUCCUAGUUUACUGGGUUGAUUCUUCCGAUUGUUACUUGUGGCGAUUGGCUAAAAUUACUUCAGAAUUUUGAGGGUCCUCCUCAAAAUUCCGCCCCAGUUUCCAAUUGCGGGGGAAAUUAAAAUUAUUGACUUGUGACCAAACCCAUAGGGCUGCCUACGUAUCCCCUCUUAAACGAGAAUCAGGUCAGGCGUAGUUCAAAUUAUAUCAUAUAUGAAAGCAUAAAGAUUACACAUAGUAUCCCUUGAGUGCAUCUGCAUUGAUCGGCUUUGGCCAAACUUCUCCGUCCAUUUCUGCAAGUAUGAGGGCUCUUCCUAUCAGAACCCGGUGAACCAUGUAUGGACCCUGCCAGUUGGGAGAGAAUUUCCCUUUGACUUCAUCUUGAUGCGGGAAAAUUUUCUUUAACACUAGCUGCCCCGGUGUGAAUUGUCUCGGCUUGACUAUUUUGUUGAAAGCUCUGGACAUUCUGUUCUGAUAGAUCUGAUCGCAGCAAACUGCAUUCAUUCUCGUUCUAUCUAUAAGAGCUAGCAGCUUGUAACGACUCUUCACCUAUUCUGCGUCGUCGAGCUUAGCUUCUUGUAUGAUCCUCAAGGAAGGAAUUUCUACUUCGAUGGGAAUGACCAUUUUUGUACCAUAUACCAGUAUGUAAUGGGUUUCCCGGGUUGAGGUGCGGACUAUGGUGCGGUACCCCAAUAGAGCAAAUGUUAACUUCUCGUGCCACUUCUUAUACUUCUCUGUCAUUUCCCUUAUAUUCUUUGAUAAUAUCUACACCUACAAAAGACACUUCCUCUUCGAGAAAAUAUGUUUUUAAUGGUACGUAUUAUCCAUUUACAGGAUUCUCCACUAAGUGAUCAGCUAACGCUUUCCCCUUGACCACCUUUUGAAUCACAUAGAUGAUGCCAAACUCACUUAGCAAUAUCUACCACUUUGCUAACUUACUCAUAGCCAUGGGUUUCUGAAAGGUGAGUUUUAGUAGAUCCAUCUUUGAUACGAGAUAUGCAGUGUACACAUAGAAAUAAUGUUCAGCUUUUAGGCUAUCCAUGUCAAGGCACAACAUGUGCGUUUUAAUAGAGAAUAUCGGGCCUCGUAAGGUGCAAACUUAUUGCUCUGAUAAUAUAUCACAUGAUAUUUCCUCCUUGUUUUUCAUAUUUCCCUGCUAUAAAAGGAUCUAUCCAACACAGACAGAUAAAAUAGUAAAGGUCUUCCUGGUUGUGGCGGCACCGACAAGGGUGAUUUAGAUAAAUACUCCUUAAUUUUGUCGAAAGUUUUUGGGCAUUUUUCAAUCCACCUUGUUGCAGGAUCUUUCCUUAGCAUCUUGAAGAUCAGAUCAUAUAUCACUACUGAUUGUGCUAUAAUAUAGUUGAUAUGAUUGAGGUGUCCUAGAUAACAUAUCACAUCCUUCUUGUUCUUUGGCGCUGGCAAGUCUUGGAUAACUUUUAUUUUUUACGGGUCUAACACAAUAUCUUGGUGGCUGACAAUUAAACCUAGAAAUUUUCCAGCAAGGACUCUGUAGGCACAUUUUACGGCGUUCAACUUUAAAUUGUAUCUUGAAAGUCAGUCGAACAACUUUUUCAGGUCUAAUAUAUGAUUUGAACUCUUUCUGGAUUUGAUGAUAACAUUAUCCACGUACACGUCUAUUUCCUUAUGUAUCAUGGCAUGGGAGAUAGUCAUUAUGACCCUCAUAUAGGUGGCGACAACAUUCUUCAAAACAAAUAGCACCAUUUUGUAACAAUAUAUUCUCCACUGCUUGAUAAAAGUUAUUUUUUCGGCAUCCUCGUUUUCUAUCCAGAUCUGGUAAUAUCGUGUGGAGCAAUCCCCAAAGGGUUGGAGUUCAAGAUUGGGGUGGUUAUCAAUCAAUAUGUGUAUGUUAGGCAAUGGAAAAUCAUCUUUAGGGCUAGCUCUGUUCAGACUUUGGUAAUCGACACAUACUCUAACUUUCCCAUCUUUCUUCAGAACCAGUACAAUAUUGGCUUAUCAGGUCGGGUAUUCAAACACUCGAAGAACCUUGGCUUUGAUUUUCUUGGUGACCUCCUCUUUUAUCUUCAGAAACAUAUAUGACUUGAACUUUAUGAGCUUGUGCUUUACCAGUGGACAGAAGGAAUUUCUGGGUAGCUCGUGAGCAUUUAUGGAUGUGCUUAAUUCAGUCAUAUCGUUGUAGGUCCAUGCAAAAAAUAUCUUCAUAUUCCUUUAGAAACUUGUUGUACUCUUCCUUCUCUAACGGUGAUAGAUGAAUGGUCAUACGAGUUUCUUUAACUAUUUCAGAAUCCUUUAAGUUAACAGCCUCAGUUUCCUCCAAAUUAGACUUUGAUUUGUUUUAAAAAUUCUUUACUUCUUUGACAAUUUCCUCUAGUAUUAUAUCACCUUCCAGAACUUUUGAAUCACUAUCUUUAUGUUAUGUUGUCUCAUUAUAUAUCAUAGUCGUAGGUUCAUUAGGAUAUGUAAUGAUUUUGCCAGGUACUCGGCGAGCCUAGGAUAGUGCGGCAGUCCAGUUCUUGAGAACAACUCCUUCUCCCGCUGUCUGAAUAGUAUGUUCUUCCCCCUACUUCUCUUCCAAAGUUACAGUGCAGUCCAUGUCUUCCUCGUCUAGAAACAACUUUCUCAUACCGACCAAAAUCCCAGCUUCCUUGGAUCCCCACAUCAUAUCAGCUUGAUGGAAUGUAUGGUACAAAUGUGGUAGGGUUUUUCUAAAGGAUAGUAUUUGGAGCACUAUGGAGGUAUCUAAUCCUGAUGCUCUUUCACAAUAUUCAUACCAGAGUCCAAAGGUCGUGGCAUAAUACUAUGUUUGAAUGGGUUUUGUGAUCCCUUGAAGAUUUUGGCCAAGACUACGGGUGGGCAUCGGUCGGUUCAUUCGGUUAUCAAAAUUAUCGGUUUUGCCUAUGGGUUAUCGAUUUAAAAAUGACAUCACCCGACAACUAAACCGAUAAGAUAUUGAUUAUCUGUUAUUGAUCAUUAUCGGUUUGGUUAUCGGUUUACCCGAUAAUGUAAAACUAAAAUUAAACGUUGACUGCUGUCGGACUGCUGUUGGACUAAAAGUUGAGAAUUCAAGUAGAACGCACAAGAAAAUUACUGGUAUAAAAUGCAGAAUGUAUGUGAUGUUGACUGGCUCAUAGAUUUCCUCAGUUCUCUCACUGAUUAGAAACGGAACUGAGUUUCUGUCAGGUUAGAGUUGUAAACACUAUGCACCAUCUUAGUGCUUGUGAUUAGUACAACUUUGGUUACUCAUAAACAAAAUGUACAAGAUAUUGCACAAGGACUAGACUAAUUCAUCAUUACAGUAACCCAAUAUUUAAUAAAAAUUACUCAUGUUCCUAUGCAAUGAAGGAUAGCUGCAGUAUAUGCAUUCGAACCAAACUAUUAAAUAAUCCACUUGUCCCAAAAUAUUUUCCAUUUUUUACUCAAACUGAAAUCGAAUGAAGAAAUGCCUGAGAGAUGAACUCAGACAUGUUUCAACUGCCGAAAUUGCAACAGAAGAAAGAAACAAUGCUACUGCUUUCACAUGAUUAGAGAUAUUCCAUUUGAAUAACGGAUAACCUUUCAUGUUUUUCUCCUUGAGUUAGGCACUAAACUUCACGAGAUAAAUCAAAGGGUGGGUGACUGGCGGUGGCUUACUAUUAGCGAAACUCAACGAGAAAAUAAGGGGAAAAGAAUAGCUUACAAUUGUGGUCCUGAUUGGGGCGUGACCGCGUGAGUCGUGAGGCGGGCGGCGGACUGGCGAUGGAAGAGCAAAGAGCAGUGGUGAGGUUUGAGCCUCUGAAGGUGAGGGCCGGCUGAGACUGUAAGUCUGUGAGGUGACUGGGUGAGUGAGGAGACGAGGAGGCGGGCGUAGUACUAUUAGGCAUCUUAGUUGAGAAACUGAAAAUGAAACCCUAGUUCUAGUAUUAUUAAUUAUGUUACAUUUUAAAAUACACUAAGGGUAAACUAGUAAAUGAAUAAAUCCUUAUUGGGUUAUCGGUUUACCCAAUAACAGAAUUGCUAAACCUAUUCCAAAAUGAUAACCCAAUAAUUUUUUUUACCCAUUACCAAACCAUUAACCCAAUAACCCAAUACCGAUAACCCAAUAAGCAAUUAACGGUUUGGCUAAUCGGUUUUACCCGAUAUAUUCCCACCCCUAGCCAAGACCAUUGCCUGGUUCAUAUCCUGUCCAUAGAAAUAUGGUUUCUAUCUUAUUUCUCCACUAUCAAUCCUUUUCAAUUGCAUUCACCCGCUCAAAUGCGGUUGGUAUGUUUCUUCGCCAUGUUGGUUUAAAUAUGGGUGCUUCCAUCUCCAUAAAUGAUCACUUCCUGAUGAUUCCACUAUAAAUUCACAACCUGGUGCAGAUUAGAAGCCACUGCCCCAGCUACAUGUAUCGAGACCAUUUGUAGAUCAAGGUUGAUUUCCCCGACAUUGGCUCUCUGAGAUCCAUCGAAUGCCUUCACAUUCAUGCUUCCCAUUUAUAUCUCAUGCAGGCGUUCACCUAAUCUUUUCAGAGUGGUCAGUGGGCAUAUGUUCAAGCUCGAACAUCUACCUAUCAACCGUGGGAAUGCACUUGUCUUCAUGUUGCACUGUGAUGUCCAAUGCUAUGUUGUGAAUCAACUCUGCUGGUGGUAACUCAUCUUCGUGGAAAGAAAUUUUGUAACUCUCCAGUUCCUUUUCGACCAUGUUAGCAAUCUCUCCACAGCUGGUACAUAAGCUUCACUUAACACUUUCAUCAAGGCAUUCUUGUGUGCGUCUAUAUUUUGCAACAACUAUAAAAUGGAUAUCUAGGCAAGUGUCUUGUUAAUGUUGCCAAAAAUAGAGUAUUCACCUUCUUGUAUCUUCCUCCAAAAUUUGUCAGUGCUCGUCUCAACAACAGGUGGCAUAGAUGAAACUUUUUUGCUCGCUCCUCCAAGAUUCUCAAGUGUUUGAACUCUGUCGGUUCUAGUCAAGUCUUGCAAGACACCUGUAUCUUCCAUCUUGGCUUUUCCUUUUCUUCUCGCUUCUACAGCAUAAUCCUAUGGGACAACAUCAGACUUGUAAGAUGGUAUGAGAGCUACCAUUACCGUUAAAGGCAUAGCUACCUCGACCUCAAAUGGUGCUUUGGUUUGUACAAUAAUAUGACUGGAGAUGUUUUAGGACUAUGUUCCUCUUGAAUGAGUCUAAUGGAUCCUUCCUAAUCCUAUUCCUUGUUAGUUUUUUAUCAUGUUCACUCCCUCACCCCUAUGAUCUUGGAAAGGGUCAUUGUGGACAUUCAGUGAGGCUUCUUUUGCUUGUAUAACCUUAGUGUCGAUCAAUAUCUAUAUUGUACGACCAUUCAUGCAUGAAUGAUAGUUACAAGUUUUGUUGGGAUUGAUCCACUAGGAGGGGUUCUCGACAACAACAACAAGAAUAGGGAUGAUGUAACAAGCGACCUUCAAUCUCUCAUACAGUUAUGCUAUGGGUUCAGCAGUUGGGGUGUAUUUUCUAGGAGUUCUAUGGUCAAAAUUUGGCAUUUCUUUGGGUAGUUUUGUCGGCCAGGUGGAGGUGAAUGGUAAUAUGAUGAUUGAGUGUUAUAGGUAUGGUAGGUGGUGGUAAGUUAUUGGUAUUUCAUAGGUGAGGGUUGGUAUUUGGGUGGAUGUGUUUGGUAUGUGAAGGGAGUCUUAGGGCCGUGGGAUUCCAUCAUGACACCUACUUAUUUCUUCUUUGAAAUUCCUCUUGAUUGAAAGGCUUUAUUUAUGGCUUGAAGUGCCUCAAAAUUAGUCACCAUCCCAUUCUUGAUUCUUUCUUCCUUUCCCCUAACUUGAUGAUGUUUGAGAACUUCUGAUUCUCAAUGACCAUCAACCUCUAAUAAUACUACGAGUGUUGCGAUCUAACAUAGAAUUUGUUCAUUUGUUCUUCUUCAAAUGCUGACCUUAUCUUUGCAGCCUUUGAUCUCCAAGGAGUAGCAUACCUACAAAGAUUUUCUAUCGGCUUCUUCUUGAGGCUUUGAUUAUAGAAAACAUAUGGUGCAUUCUCGGUGUAGAACCUAAAUCUAUCCAUAAAAUCUAAUGACAUACUUACCCCAUUUUCUCAUUUGUUAUAGUAUGUCCUCAGAUGUACCUUCGGAUCACAAUGCUAUCGAGCAUUUCAAACUUGAGAGGUUCGUAGCCUUCUAACGAUUCUAUAUCUGGCUAUAUACACUAAUGUUUCAAAGUUUAAACCUUCAACAUUCUGGACUAUCCCUAUAAGUUUCUUAAGUUCCUCUAUAUGUUUCAAAUGAGAAAGUCCUCAAUUGGCUUCGGUAUUUGUAGGGUUUUCUGCGGGGUAUGGGUUAAGGUUUCCAUAUAUAUCAUAUUGCUUUGAUGAGUACCUGGAACUUGGAUAUAUAGGUGAUCGUUUGUUGAGUUUGGGGAUCGUGAGUAGGUUGUGGUGUAUUUUGGGGAGUGAUAAGUAGUGCUUUGUAGACAUUGAGUUUGGUGAUGAUGGUGUUGCUGAGGGGUUCGCACUAGUGGUGGGUUAAGGUUUUGGGGAGGCACGGGACUAUGAUACUAGUGCGAUGCGGGAUGAUCUGAGAUAUAGGUGGUGGAUUCUAGUUUUGUGUGUUUUAUGGCAGUGUUUAGUUUUAAGUGGCUGGGUUUAUCUUGUUAUGUCUGGAACAUUGAGAUUAAGGGAAAGGUUUUCUAGAUUUCGGACUUGUUUAAGCUCACCCUAUAACUCCAGGAUGUUCUACUCCAAAUGUAGGACCAACUCAUUCUAUCAUGGGGCGCUUUUACCAUCAAAGCUUCAAGAUUGUCUUCCACAGUAGUACUAUCUUUCAGAAUACCUCUUAAAUCAUCCAUUUUCCCGUUGCCCAUGCCUUUGCUUUUUGGGUCGAACCUCCUAAUCUAUUGUGCUAUGUUGAUGAUGACAGUAUGCACGAACCAACCUUUAGGAAUGGGAAUAAAUAUAAGAAAUAAAAACAAAAAGGUAACCAAGUCAGUAAGGCAAAAUAAAAGAGUGUUUGAAAUAUUUAAACAUGGUUCACAUAAGUCAUGCAAUAAGUCACGUCCUAAUGUAGGACCUCAUUGUGCCUGAGGUAGGACUAAGUGGCACAUAGGCUUGGAGAAAAUUGAUGCCAAUGUUUGCUUCAUUUCAUUAGCACGAAUAUAAUCCAAAAUAGUCUUUUACUAAGUUGACAAUAAUAAUAAUAAUAAUAAUAAUAAUAAUAAUAAUAAUAAUAAUAAUAAUAAUAAUAAAACCUCUAAUGGCAUUCAGCCUUAUUACAUCGAAAUCUAAUCUAAACUAGAAAACAGUAAAGAACAUUUCUCCUAAUCUACUUGGUCCCCGAAAGACCUUCUCCAUGCUUGGUUCGCUUGACCCCAUCAAUCAUGUUUCUAGAUUGCGCAUAUCCAGUAGCAAAUAAGACUUUGCCAGCUUUCCUCCUUCAUCAUUGUCCAUGCCUUAACAAUCCUAAAGUCGUUUUCUCAUAUUCUCUUCUAGCUCCAUCAAUCCUUGUUACAAGUAUUCUAACCUCUCCCUCGACUUAUUGGCAAUCUCCUUUCAUUUUCUUAUCGCCUCCAUGUUCACUUUAUGUUGUUCAAAAUUCUUAGCUUCGAACUCGUACACCCUUUUAUGUAGCCUCUUGUACUUCAUUCGUGCCUCAGCUACUUCAUAUGAUCAUAUCAUUUAGAUUGACUAUUGGUUUGAUGUCUCUGGCUAUGUUGUCUUUUAACCAUGAUAUAUAGAAUUUCAUAUGUCCAGCGUGAUACAUGUCUGGAUCAAUAGUUUCUCCUUCCACGAUGAUAUUUUGGUUCAUCAUAUGUUGCACUUCGAACUAGAAUGGGAUGAAAUCUCCAUUGUUCUAGCUCGUCUAUUAGAUUGCUGAAGAAACACACCCAGCCUAUAGCUUUUCCAGGCUUUGCAAACCUGUCUUGAAAGAUUUCAUUUUCUUUGGGUGAUGGUUGGCUAUGUAGACAUUUAGUGGCCUUUGUAUAAUCUCUUGGCGAUACUCUUCUCUCUUAUAGUGUUGCAGUAGCCAAACUUGUAGAAAUAGAUUACAACCCUCAAAGUGUCCAAAUCCAGGCUUGCACCGAUCUAGAACACGGUACAUCUCAGCUAAGAUCACAGAGAUGAUAAUGUAAGUCUGUUCUUCGAUGCCACCCAUUAAAGUCCUGGUGUAUAUGGCUAAGCGAGGAUGAAUCCUUCCUCCUUACAUUGGAAAGAUCAACUAACUCAAGAGUUAGAUAAUAAACACAUAACCAUGGCAGUGCACCCAUCCCAAAGAGAUAAUGUCUACUUCAUCAUGAUGAAGGCAAUAUGAUUUACAAUGCACAUAACGCUCAUAGAGAAAAUUAUUAGGGAUGUAUGAUUUCUUUAGUCAAAGCAGUUCAUCGUUCUUCUUAAAAUCCAACAUUUCCAAAAACACUCGGUGAAGUGCAACUUUCUGGCACCAACAAUCCCGUAAUAUCCUAUGGUAACUUGGCAAAACUCCAUAUUUCUUCAAAUAGGAGUAAUUUCUAUAUUGCCAAAUUGAAAAUGGCUCUUUUAUCAUCCCCAAGCAUAGUAGCAGCCUUAAUUAGUUACCUGUUAGGUCAAAUGAACAGCAAAGAUGGAAGGUUACCAAGCACUCUCCUCACAUGAUUUCUAUCACAAGGUGCAAUGUCUUCCACACAUCAAUUAGCAGAGGUGGGAUGUUUUGGACCAUAAUGGACAUGGGAAUUUUGUGUUUCAUUUUCUACAAACAAACUUAAGUUAGCCCUUUCCCCCUCCAGAUUCGGCUACUUAAGUAACAUUGAUAAACAAGUUGGAACGUUUUCUCCAAGUAAUGCACAUAACAUGAUUCUGUACUUUGGGAUUAUGGAAAUCCUGUUGGAAUUCGGACAAGUUUUAUCUAAUUGAAUUAAUAUGUCAACGACGUCUCAGUCCGUACUAGGUUUAGCAUGAUGCAUGUAUAUUUGAAAUUAGAGUGGGGUUUCUAGAAGGGUCUAGAUUGGUACUCUCAAGUGGACAGCUCGAGAGGGAAAAGCAUAGGAUCGUUGACUGCAUUGCUAAACGAAUAGUCUACUAUGAAUAAGCCUUUUCGGUUUAAAAAGGUAACUUCAGGAAAGUGCAGACACUCAUGAAGCGCCGCUACAUUGAUAAUAUGCAUGAGUGGAGUAUGAUGUAGAGCAUGAUUUAUGCAUAAAUAGUAACACAAUAUGAUAAAGAUGAGCAUGAAUAUGAAUAAAAGAGAAAAGAAAAGAAAGAAAAAAGAGAAGUUAGUUUACAUCAUGAAAAUGUGCAAGAACGUAAUAAAACAAAUAUGGAAAUGUGAAUGGGAGAAUCAUAAUAUAGCAAUAUAUAUGGUAGAAAACGGGGGGGUUCAAUUUCUCGACCAUCAAGGCAACUCAAGGGUUUCAAGUGAUCGACUUCAAGGGUUCCUAGUGAUCGAUGUUGGGGUAGUGUAAGCAACGAUUGGCCUCGAGGUAGUGUAAACUAGUGGUUUUGGUAUAUCAAUGUGAGGUUCCCAAGGCACUUGACUAGCUAACAAAGUCUAGUGGACUAGUUUAAAAAAUAAUUAAGGCGUUAAUGGUUGUACCAGCCCCAUAUCCUUGAAGUUAAUGCAUUUGUACUAUGUUGGAAUUCUCCCUCACAUAUAAAGGAGAUCCUAUCCAUUUUGUAGACAUCUAAUAUUCAAUACUAAAUACACAAGAACAUUUUCUCUACUCUCUAACAUAUUCACUUGAUGUUGUUACUUCAAUGUACUGCUUAUAUUCAUUAUGUUCUAUUUACUGUUCUUCAAUUUUAUUGCUUAUCAUUAGCCAUAAAGAGUCGUCAUUGAUUUUAUUAUAAAUGUUAGUCUUCCAUCGACUAUUCUUGGGGAGACAUCGAACUCCACCCCGAGGCCCCUAACUGGCAGGCUCGAGGCCCCAAUUAUUAAACAGUCGGUUUGGCUAUCACAUUGCUCUCUAGCUCUUGUCUUGUUUCCAAAUAUUUCAUUUAGCAUCUAUUGCCUAAACAACUAGCAUAAAAAUAGAUCAUGUAUUUUUAGAACCACAUGGUCAAAUUUAAUUAUUAUUUCCAUUUGCAUGAUAAAACGUUUGGCACCCACCAUGAGGCUAAAAAUAAUAGUAAUUAUUUUCUUGUUGGUUCACUACAUAAUGCAAGCUAUCUUUCACAUUUUUUCUUGUCCAAGAUCUUCGCUUUCGGGUCAAAAUGUCUGACUCAGUAAAUGGAUGUUAAAACAACGGUCUUGAGAACCAUGGAGAGAAUGGUAUUGCCGUUCCAGGUAUUGGUGCCACAACUAAACCCUGAAGGCGUGCCAGAGCUGAUCCCCACAUAUGUGAUCUCACGCAAUACCCAACACGUCGAUAUAAGCUCCCGCACUAAUAGGACCGUACAUCAAGGAGACCAAGAAGAAGCUCAGUAAACCCCAGCCAUGGAAGAAUAAUAGGUUAGCAUUUAUGUUAUUUUUGAAUUGUUAUAGGCAUAACAACUAGCAAUUGGUCAGCUGCAAAGUACCAAAAAACUGCCAGCACGGUAGUAUCGAGACCACCGCUCCCCUCCCUCCAGCCGAGCAGGUACCAGAAAGAUCAAGAAAUAAUGGGUUGGCUGCAGACCCCACCAUUGUAAAGAUGCUUGAGGAUCUUACAAGGAGGAUCGAGUCAGGCGAGAAGAAGAUGGAGGCCAACAAAAAUAAGGUAGAGAUAUAUCAACUUUAAGGUCGAUUAAAUUCCGGACGCAUCCCUAGUCCUGUAGGGAGUAGACUUGAAAACUUUCGUGCAAAAGCCAUUCUUGUAAGAAGCUGCUCGAAAACCUAUCCCAAAGAAGUUCAGAAUGCCCGACCAUCCGAAGUACUAUGGAACCUUUAACACCAACGAGCACGUUAUUACUUACACAAGCACGGUGAAAGGCAACGACCUGAGGGAUGAUGAGAUCGAGUCGGUCCUACUGAAAAACUUUGGAGAGACGCUUUCAAAAGAAGCGAUGAUGUGGUAUCGCAACCUAGCCCCAAACUCGAUAGAUUCAUUUGCCAUGUUCGAAGAUUCUUUUAUAAAGACACAUGAUGGUGCCAUCAAAGUAGCUACCUGGAAAUCUGACAUUUUGAAAACUAAGCAAAGGGAGAACAAGAUGCUACCAGAGCUCAUAUCUCGUUUUCCAAUGGAACGAAUGGGACUACCACCGAACUCCGACGACUGGGCAGUACAAGCCUUCACUCAACAUUUGAAUGAGCGAAGCUCAGUUGCUUCAGAGCAGUUGAAGUAGAACUUAGUCGAAUACCCCAUCGUGACUUGGUCGGAUGUCACAACCGAUACCAAUUGAAGAUCAGGGUUGAAGACAACCAACUAGGAGCCACCUCGGGCCCGGUAUACCCCAAAAAUCUUCCAAUAAAAGAGUCAAAGCCAAAUAAACAGAGAUACCAACAAUACACCAAAGAUAUAAGAAACCCAAGAGGCACAACAUAGCUCGCAAUGACUGAAUAAUGGAUCAAGGCAAGAACCCUCGGGGACUUAUCAGCUGAGCAAGAUUCGAUAGGCACACAAUGACGAUGGAUGCACCCCGCCUAAUGGAAUAUAACUUUAACAUCGACGUAUGAGACAUCGUAUUUGCAAUCAGUAAAAUUAGAGACACUAGGUGGCCAAGGCUCAUACAGUCAGACCCUUCGCAAAGAAACCAUAACUUAGUGUGUGAAUUUCACAACAAGAACGAUCACCAAACCGAAGUGGCCCGAUUACACAAUAAAGGUCACCUUUGGGAAUUCCUCAAUGACCAAGCUAAAAAUAAGUUCCAGGAAAGAGAGGCGAACAAAAAGAACGAAGUCGAUGAGCAGCAGCAUGUCAUCCAUACUAACUUUUGAGGUGUCGGUGCCCUACAGGAUCCCAUGGUCAAGAGAAUCAAAAACAUGCCUGACCAGGGAAAAGCGAACUCGAGGCUCUAUCUCUGCCCCCUAUCGACGCACUGCUAACUUCUUUUCUUGUGAAUACAUUUCAAAUUAAAUAUGUACUUGUGGAUCUAGGCAGCUCAGCCAAGAUUAUCAAGUAGAGGGUAACAUAGCAACUCGGGUUGCAAUACCUAACUAUGUCCACCUUCCGAGUCCUCAGCGGAUUCAACAUGGCAAGGAAAACAAUCAAAGCGGAAACCACCCUACCAGUCGACGUGGCCGGCACAACCUAAAACCCCAAUAUCUCCACCAUCAAAGGAACUGAAGGAUGAGAAAACUAUGAGGUAGCAAUACCAAGCUACAUUCUGGCCACACCUGACUAAACAAAAUGAAGACGGUACCGAGUCCUCAUAACAAGAGAUUAGCUCACAUUGGAUCCCGAAGCGCCGUCGGCACUAAGGUAUAGUCAACUCCCUUGUCAGUUACAUCUUAUACUAACCUGAGUGCGGGUAUCUAAUCAAAACAGUUGAAGGGCUUUCCAACGCGAAGGUCUUAGCUUUCAAAAGCAUGCCUUGCACUCCUUUUCAUUUUUACCCCAAAUAGAGUUUUAUCGGCAAAGUUUUAACGAGACAAUAUCUAUAUGCUACUUAAGGAAAACACAACAACCAUUCAAGGCUUCUUUUGCAAUCAACCUCGAAUACUGGGGGGGCAUCCCACUGGAAGAUCACUUACUUGGAAAAGCCAAGAUAUACUAAAUAGGGUCUCGAUAGGAAAACAAUGUACUGGGCUAAACGGUCGAACGAACCCUACACGCAUAGAAUAGCUGAACCCUUGAUACCAAAGACAUGUACACUUGUACCAAGUAAUUAGAGAAUACUUUAAAAAGCAUUUUGUUUUUCAAAGAAGCUCGGUAUUUUUGCAAAGACAACUCCUCUAUCAAAAAACAUCCUGAACACUCGAGGACCAGUGUCAAUAACUCAAAAAAAUGCGACCCCGGGUAAUAUCUUCAAAAUCAUAAGCCGUCAAUAAGGCAACACCAAGAUCAUAAAACAACUCCAUAGCCAAAAACAUCCUGAAAACUCGGGGACUAGCAUAAAAAACUCAAGGCCACAUGACCUCCGGGUCGGAAACCUCGAGAUUGUAAGAUCUCAAUGAGGCAAUACCAAGUUUACAAGUAAUGGUUCUCCAGCCAAGAAACCCUAGAUGACUCGGGGACUGCCGCCAAUUUCCACCCUCAUCGACGUACCAAAACCUGAGGCCACAAUACCGCAUGCGGCCAGCCUCUAUCUUGUAAGGCCUAUAUAAGGCAAUUACAAUAUAUGUAAGACCUUAAGCAAGGUAUAAACCAAAAUUGUACCAAGUGAAAAUAUUUGUAGGACCUCAAGAAAGGCAUGAACCCUAGUUGUACCAAGUAGCAAAUUGUAAGACCUCAAAGGCAUGUAAAACUUGAAGACCUAACUAAAGGCAUAAUCCUAAUCUUAAAGUUAAGGCUAUACAUCAAAAUUGUAAGACCCCUUAAAAGGCAUACCCUUGAUAUAGACGCCGAAACAACUUCACUCGGGGACUAAGAGACUCCGUCUAAAAACAAAUGACUACGGUCACAAGGCUGUACCAGCCAAACUAAAGUCACUCAGGGACGCCUGACCAUUGAUAUAAAACCACAGGCCUUCAACUACUUUGAAAAUUCUCCAAAAAGAUUCGAUUAAAUAGGUUACCCUCGAUAUAGGCAAAUGACCUUCGACCAUCUCAGCUCCUAACAAAAGGCUUUGAGAUACUCAACCACUGAGCAAAACCUCUUGAGGUACUCGAUCAUUGCCAUAUAAUAGGUUGCAAUCAAGGUUGUUAUCAAACAGUCAAAAAAUUGGGCAAACACAACUUUAAAAGUCCUUAACGAGGGAUAAAUAAAGCCUAUAUUAAAGGUCUCAUCAACCAAAUGCGUAAGAGUCGUUGUCGUCGGCCCAUAUAAAAUGUCGUACUAACCUAAAGCAUAAAGUCCAAUAAUGCUAGCAUAUAUUAAAAGGUCGUACCGACCCACUGCGUAAGAGCCCCUCUCACCAGCCCAUACAAAAGUUCAUACCGACCUAAAACGUAAGAGCCACUAACGCUAGCAUACAUUAAAAGGUCGUACCGACCGAAUGUGCAAGAGGAUAUGGGCCAGAUUUAAAUUCAAAAACUUGAGGGUCAAAUGAGUUCGAGUCAAAACCUGACUAGGAGACUAAACCCAAAAUAGUUAACUAAAUAUGCCUAAGGGUGAAACCAUAAGAGCCUAUGGCGCCAACUUAUAUUAAAAGGUUGCACCAACAAAAGCGCAUCUGAGGCUACGAGGAAGCCGAAUAAGCCCCACGGCUAUAUUGUGAAUCUAAGGAUUCUUUUUAACUCAAAGGCCAAUACUUCUUGAUAGCUAACAAUCAUUGAGAGGUACAUGAAAACCGAAGUCGGAAGAUUUCUUUUUGUACACAUAUAUGAAUAAAUACAAGGUCCACUUACAAUGUACUUUGAAAGUACUAUAUACAUAAUCAAAAAAGCAAAUCUACAACCCCUUUGUGCAUUGUAUACGGAGAAAUCAUAGCAUCCAAUUUCUAGUCAUUAAGGCAUUUGGAAGGUUAUCUCGGAGCCUCGAGCCAAGAAGGCUAGGGCCGAGCCUCCUCCCUCGGUAAAACAUCGACACCCAACCUAAGAACAACCGUGAAUACAACCACGAUAGGAAAGGGGGGAAUUCCCAAGGUACACGGCUAGGACUAACAAAGUCUGCCGGUCUACUCUAAACCCUAGUCAGGGUGUCAUAUCUAGCUAUCCCAACCCCAUAUCUUUGCAAUUAAUGUAUUUUUUACUAUGUCAGAAUUACCCUCCUAUAUAAAGAGGAUCCUUACCAUUUUGUAGGGUUUCGGCUAUUGCUCCAGCUACUCCAUAAGAAAUAUACAAGAACAUUUUCUUUGCUCACUAAUAUACGCUCUUGAUAUUAUUGCUUCCAUUUAUCAUCUUCCUAUUUUUUCUUUAUUUAUUGCUGAUCUUUGUCAUAAAGAGCCUUCAUUGAUUAUUUUAUAACUGUUAAGACCUAUCCCGGUAACCUUCCAUAGCUCGUAGCCGAGCCAAGAAAUCCACCUCGAGGCUUGGAUUGACAGGCUUGAGGCCCUAAAUAACUAGCUUAUUGGUUUGAUUAUAAUUCUCCCCUUAACUUUAUUUAAUCUCUAACUCAUAUAUGUAGUAUCAUCUGCUUAACAACUAUAAUAAAAAUAUAUCAUGUAUCUUGAGAGUCCUAUCAAAAAGUUUAAUUGUUAUUACCAUUUUCACGGUAAACAGUUUAGCGCCUACCGUGGGGCUAAAUAUAAUAGGGAUUAUUUUCUUACUGGUUUUAUUACAUAAUGCGAGUUAACUUUCAUGCUUUUUCUUGUCCAAGAUCUUCAAUUUUAGGCUAAAAUGUCUACCUUGGUAAACAGAGUUGAAAACGACAAUCUUGAAAACCACGAAAGAAAUAGUGUGCCUGCUCCAAAUGCUGAUGUGCCUCCACGAAACCUCAAGAACAUGCCAGGACCAAUUCCAGUAGACAUAGGUUCACGUGACGCCCAGUAGGUAGAUAUAAGCUAAAAACCCAACAAGAGAGUGCACCAAGGAGAACCACAAGAGGCUUAGAAAACCCCAACCAUGGAAGAACAUGAGGUUAGCCUUCAAUUUAUUUUUGAAAUUUUGCAGGCACAAUAGUUACCUAUUACUCAGCUGCAAAGUCACAAGAAAACCCUAGCACGACAGCACCGUGAUUCCCUUCCCCGACCGAACAGGUGCCAGAGAGAUCGAGCAAUAAUGGGUCGAUAGCCGAUCCUAUUGCCGCGAAGAUGCUCGAGGACCUAACCAAUCAAAUCGGGCAAGAAAAUGAUAGAAGCCAAUAUUAAUGGGACCUAAUUUUAAGAUUUCCAUGACAUAACAAGAUGAAGUAAGUUGUGUUGUAGGGUAGUAUAAUUCAGCCAUAAAAUUGUAACUCUUAAGAUACGACUUGAUUUUUGAUUUGCAGGACCCUCCUAGGAAAGGGAACCUAGUUUUAAAAAAUGAGUAGCAAAAUCUAGCUUAAAUGUACCCCAAAGUAAUAUAGGGUAGUUUCAAAGUUUGCAUGUUUAAGAUACAAUUCAAUCAGGAGUUUUCAGGACCCUCAUGAAUAAUGAGACCUAGCUUUAAAAUUUCCAUUAGAUAACAAGACCUAGAGUAAGAUUUGUUGUAUGGGAGUAUAAUUCAACCAUAAAAGUUCUGUCGUAAAGAAGCACUAUUCAGCCAUAAAGGUUGUCACUCUUAAGAUAAGAUGUGAUUUUUGAUUUCAGGACCCUCUGGAUAAUGGGGUGUAGUUUAAGACCCUCUUAGAUAACAAGAUUUGGCGGAAGUCACACAUUUGUAAGAUAUAACUUAGAUUUAAAAUUGUCGUUUAAUUAAGAGUUUUCAGGACCCCCCUGGAUAAUGGGACUUAACUUUCAAAUUCUUUGUAAAAUAUUUGGUAACAUGAUUCAGUUUAACACUGACAUAUGUGCCCGACUACCAAACUGGGGCAGGAAAAUCUUCUUUGUUUUGUCUAUUUUUGUUAAAAUCAGGCGCCCACCUGGAGAAUAGGAAAAAGAAGUUCAAGUUCAGCAGUUAGGGCCCACCCGGAGAGAACGGGAAUACAUUUCAUGUUUUAGCAAUCAGGCGCUCACCUGGAGAGCGAGGGAAUACAAUUAAACAUCUAGCAAUCAGGCACCCACCUGGAGAGCAAGGGAAUACAUUUCAAGCUUAAGUGUUGGAAAUAAGGAGCCCACCUGAAGAACGAAGGGAGAAGCAAAUCAAGUGUCGGUAAUCAGGAGCCCACCUUGAUAGCAAGGAAGAACAACACCAAUUUUAAGGAAGGAAAACAAUUUAAAUGUCGAUAAUUAGGUGCCCACCUGGAAAACAAAGCAAUUCAAGUGUUGCUAAUGAGGAGCCUACCUGAAGAACGAAGGAAAAGUAGCAAUGUUCGAAAGAAGACGAUUCAAGUUUAGCAAUCAGGCGCCCAAUUGAAGAAAAGAGAAAGCAUCUCAGAUUAUAAUUCAAGUCGGCAAUAAAGGAACUUCACCUGGAGAAUACAAGUCGACAAGGUAACAGAAACCACUAUAUCAAGUUUAAGAAUAUAGAUAGGAUUUUUGUAAUGCAUAUAUCAUAGUUUACUCUACUUUCUUUUAUUUUGUCAUGGUGUCAUAAGGGGUUCCAUAAGUAGUAGUAGCAACAGUGAACUCACAGUUAAGUCCCAGCUACCGAAAUUUCCCGAGCUACACUAACCUGAUUCCUUUAUAGUCAAGAAUAUGUAGGCAGCCUUGGAAGCAGGGUGCAGUCAAAUAUUUCAAAGAAUGAUCCUCAUGGAGUAUUCAAACGGGAAAAAAUCGCUCGUAUACUCUCACUUUAUUUUUGUACGAAAACUCUUCGUGUUUCCGUGCAAAAAAAGGGCAGCUGUGAGCACGUGUUUUUGACCUAUAUGAAAUAUUCUCAUAGAUUCAAGAAAAUAAAAUUUUUCCAUUACUUACAAUUUUGUAGAUUUUUAUAGCAUUUUUUCUACCAUGUGCAUUUUUCUGUGUACAUUUAUUUUAUAUAAAUCAUGAAAAAACAACAGAAAAGAUACCAUGCAUUUGCAUUUAGGACUCAUUUUCAUACCUUUUAGGUUAAUUAGUAAAUUAGGUGCUUUAUUAAAAUAAAAAUCACAAAAUUAGUUCAUUUUGAAUUCUACUCUUUGAAUUUUGAAUGUAGGAAUUAUUCAAAAAUACUACGACUAAUAAUUAGGCUAAUUUAGUAAGUUAAUUGAGUUUAGGAAUUAAUUUUAGGUUUUUUAAUUCUUAUAGACAAUCAGUAAUUAAAAGGAAAAAUAAAAGGGUUUAAAUAAAAAAAGAGUUGUUCACCUUUUUUGGGCCAUUUUAUCAGCCCAAACACGCCUACCUCCAUACCCCGUCCCAAACCCAUGUUCAACCCGCUCGAUUUGGUCGGAAACCCUGGUUUUACCCGGUCCAACUUCUAUAAGACCAAAACACGGUCGUUUGCAGUUCUGUGAUAUGGAUUGGAUCUUGGCCGUCUAUCGUCCAUCAUCCAACAACCCUAAUAAUUCCCCGUUCAUUUACUUAAUACUGUCCAAACUUCACCAGAACAACCUAAGACUAAGUACCAUUUCUUCAUCUCCUCCCUCAUCUCUCUUAAGACAAACCCUAGCACCGCCCUAAAAUUUCUUUCCCCUCCAAUGGCGGCACCGUUCCCAACCCACCCCAAAAUCACACCUAUGAACCCUCCCAUCCCCCUUUGUCCUAAUCUCAACACAGUGUCCCUUGAAUAAAUCUCAAUCUCGUUGAAUAUUGAAUCAAAAUACGAGACCUAAAAUUUCAAAUCCUAAAAUCGGCAGGUUUGGUAGUAAUUGAGGCCGAAAUGGACUGUGUUCAUGUGUUUUCAUAUGAGAACACAUGAUUAUGUCCCCCUUCGGUUAAAAUCAAAAUUUUGAAGAAGAACUUCAAAGCCUGGCCAGUUCGUUAGGUAUCUUUGCAUUUUGGUUGGUUUUUUCUUGUAUUUUUUGUUGUUUGUUUUUUUCGAAAGUCAUCCUUCAUCAUCUCGUUGAUGUGCUUGUGGUUCCGCUUCUUCAUAGCAUGCCUGUUGAUUAUUCAUGCACGACCUAUUUUUUAGUCAACAUAAUUAUCUGGUUGUUUGUUUAGAAUCAGCUGAAUCGUUAUUUUCUUUUCUCUUUUGGGUUUUGAUCUCUAGUUUAAAAUUCUUGUAUCUCUUUCUCUUGAUUAAUUAUAGCUUAUAUUUUUGAGUCUUUUGCUGAUUUCAAUUGAUACAAAAAAAUUCAGCCCAAAAGGAAUUCAAUUGGGUGUAGUUCAGACCCAAUAACUUGGGUCAAUAUAACCCAUCGUUGGUUUAGGUUGGGAGGGUAAAUAUCAGAGGUCUGAGGGGUAAUUUGUGGUAAUUGGUUGAGGGAAUCUUUGUAUAACAGAAUAGGAUGCUUCCUAAGAAUCUGGGUAGGGCUGUGUUGAUAAUUUGAUAAUUACAUUAAAGGUAGCUAAGCAAAAUUGAAUAAUAGCUAAGGAUUUCUGAGUUAAAAAUUAGAAAGGGACUAAGGGGAAAAAACUAAUUCUUGAAUGUUUUCCUAUUUCGUUGCCUAUAAAGGCACCUUUUCUUGCCUUUCAAGGGGGGACUGGAUGAGAAAAAUGUAGGGAAAAUUAAAGGCAACAGAAAAUUUUCAUAAAAUUUACUAUUCCAUUGGUUUUUGGUUUCAUCCUUGAGGUUUCCUAUUUUUCUGAAGUUAUCUGCGAUUCACAUGGGUUAAAGAUAGUUUAAUUUGGCUUUUCAAAACUGAUCUUAAGCUGAACUUGUAUUUAGAGUCUGGUUUCAAUUUGAGUUUGGAGUUUAUAAAUUGGAUUCGAGCCUGUUUAGAUGUUUGGUUUGAAGCUGCUUGGUUCUGGCUUACUGUUUUAUCGGAUCUGGGGAUGAUUUAUGCUACCUUUCUACUGUUGCUAAACCUCUGCUUACCUUGCUUUGUUUCUUCUUAUUUUCCAGGUAUUUCAUGAGCUAUGGAUGACAAAUGGCAGUACACAUGUAUUCUGUAGUAGAAAUUGAAUUGAAUACAAAAAUUGUUUUGAGUUUUUUUUGAUGUUUUGUUUUCUUCCUACCCUCAGUCAUAUAUUGGUAGCAGUUUAGAUUUAUGCAUGUUAUUUUCAGCAUUCAUAUGCCUUCAGUAUUGAUAGCUAAUAUCUCGUUUGUGCUGGAUUCAACCCAUUCGCUUAAAUACUCCACCUUCUCUUGUAAGCCUUUAGUUAGUUUGAGAGAAACGUUUAAUUAUAUGUGGCGUGUUAAUUAAUUAAGCCCAUUAAAUAGAUUGAGGUGUGCCAUAUUAGGAAAUAAAAUUAUUUUAUGGCCCUCCAAAGUAUUGUUUUCAUCCCUAUGAAAAUUAAAAUCGAAGUGUGCCAUCCAUAAUUUCAUCACACAAGGCCCUCAUAUUAAUUUCAUAUGACUUAGAUUUAAAAUGAAAAAUGUUCAUAGUUUGCUUUAGGCCCUUUUAAUCUACCAUCGUGGUUGUGGAUACAUUCGCAUGAAAUGAUUGCGAUCUUUAAAAACCAAACCGGAGUAUGCGUUCACGAAACUUCGGCCAAACUUUCUUAAUAAUAUUAAAGUGUUAUUAAUUGUGGACACAUUUGUGUGACAUGAUUUUUGACGCGCCAAAAAAAUGGGUACACAUGUGUGUGACAUGUUUCAAGUUAAUUUCUUAAUUAAAAAGGAGUAAAAGAACAUAGGUUCUCAAAUCAGUAAUUAAAUAAUUUCAUAAUCCAAGUAUGAUCAGAGCGACCGUGCUAGAACCACGGAACUCGGGAGUGCCUAACACUUUCUCCCGGAUUAACAGAAUUCCUUACCCAGAUUUUUCUAUUCGUAGGCUAUAAAAUAGAGUCAACCUUUUCCUUCACUCGGGAUUUGAAACUGUGACAUGAGACACCAUAAAAUUAUCCCAAGUGGCGACUCUGAAUCUUUCAAUAAAUAAAUCCUAUAUUUAUUGUCUUUUAAUUGGAAAAAAUUCCCUUAUACAUCCUUUUGCGUGUGUGUAGUAAAAAAGGAGGUGUGACAGCUCUAGAGACUCUUCUAGGGAUAAGAAACCAGAAUCUCUGGUUCAAAGUUCAAGAAUUCGAACUUGUUAUAUGAUUUUUACUUGGCUUUAUUUAUUGUUAAUAUUACUGUAUUUUGUGAACAUUUGUGCUAAUUGCUGCCUAUUUACUGCUUUGAUAUUGUUUGAGUUGUAUAUAACUGUCUUCUUACGCCAUCUCUCUAAGGUUUCUGAAAAUGGUGCACCCGUUCAUAUGGCCCGCUUUUUCUAUAGAAAUUACACCAAAUAGAACGAGGUUGGGCAAGUGACAAGGCUGGGUAGACUUCAGCGCUCGCGGUACAUCGAACCCUCUUCGUCCCUAGUUGCCCGCUCGGGUAUCCCAAGUCUAGACCAAAACCCCGAGAUUUAAACCUAGAAAAACACAGCUUCAUGCCAGAUCUCUAGUAGGAAUGAUCGUUUUCAUCAUGUGCAUUUGAUUCGGGGGACUCAACACAUGGGUUGGGUCCGUCUAGGACAAGUGUGCCAAAAAUAACAGACCAUCCUAUACAUUCUAUGUGCUAUAUGAACAUUCAUUUUAGCUUGCAUGUUGACCGGGUAGGGUAAAUAAAGCAAAAAGAAAAACCAAGAGUGAUAUAAGGAAGGGAAAAAGGCCUCGUUCUAAAAACAAUCCCCGAUAUUUGAAAAACAAAAUCUUGAAACUCUACCAAAAUUCUCCAAAAAGAGUUAUUUGGAAAGAGUCAAACACUGUGUCCUUUUCAAAUGUGUUAAAGUUGACCACACUACGCAUGUCUGAUUCUCACCGGAUGUAGGAUACGUAGGCAACCUACAUAUGGUUCGGACUUAUUUUGGAAAAAUAAAACUAGAAAAAAAGUGCCAGUGGUCAAGUGAAUGUAGUUUGGAGUUUUGAUCAAAACAAGCCAAUCCGGGUUCGGCAAUAUUUUAAAUCGUUCUUGCCGAGAUAGUCUUAGAAUAUUUUCAGUUGUCGAAGGGCUAUUUUCGAAAAUAAUGGACAAAUUGUGAACUGUCAUGAAAUAGUCCUCCCCAGCCUUAAAUUCAUAUGGAUUUGGAGGGGGCCACGCUUACAAAAUGGUCGUAUGGUUAAAAUUGGCAUAUAAUGGAAGAAAUCGUUGAUUCUUUAUUUUCUCAUUAGAAACUUGUUUUACAAAAAGGUUCGCUCAAGUCAACCCUGACAUUAACCUUCCACAGGAAAAAAUAAAUAUUAUCUGGGAUCCGCCAGAAGUGGCCAGUAAGCAGGCCUGAUUACACCUCCGUAUGUGGUGGAAUGAUCUAGACGAAGACAUUCAGAAAUGGGUAAAAAAGCAUUUGGGUUCCCUCAUAAAAAAUUUUGAGAUUAUACACGGGGAAGAUCAAAUUAGGGCCUUGGAGGAGAUGGCCGGGUACAUUGAUUUUUUUCGGGAUUUGAGGAAGCAACAACUUAUAUUUCCAAGGGCUCCGUCGCACAAGUUUUUUGACCUCAUAAAUAUUAGUAAACAUAUGAAGAAAUCCCACGUAAGCAAAGGAUGUUUUUCUUUCCAUUUCUUGUACUUCAGGUUAGGGCAUUUAGCUAGGUCAAAACGCAUGAAUAGGGUUUCAGAAAUAAACAAGAUAAGGGCCUUUGAAAAAUUCAUCGGCGGUUUGCAAUUAUUGUGGAAUUUUUGGGGAUCGUGGUUUUUCACCAAAUAAGGAAGGGACAGUGGAUACUCGUAUGGUUAGAAUUCCACAAGUCGUCACUACAAAGGAAUAUCACAUACUUGUCCAGUUGGUGCUGGCGGAUAUUUAUCGAGCAUUGACAUUUUGUAAAGCAGGGGCUCAAUUCCUUGAAGGUUGCAAUAUCCUUCUAUAGAUAUGGUUGAUCAAGCAUCUUCGCCAUUACCUCAGAUUCAUGAGUUAUGGUUCGAGCCCGAUAACUUCAUCACCAGCUACGAGGAGAGGGUAAAGGAUUAUAAUGUGCCAGAAGAGUUUGAAGUAUAGGUCUUCCACUUGAAAGCUCUCAAAGCAGGUUAGGUCGACUGGACAAUAGGAUGGCUUCCGAAAACAAAAGCCAUAUGAAUGACUGCUACCAAGGACUACUUAAGGAUAAUGGGUGUAAAGAGUAUUGCACUGUAGAGGGUCUUGAGAAAAUUACCAUAGUAUCAAAUUGUGCCCGAAGAUCAAGAUAUAUGCACCCAUGGCAUAACGGUGCAUCCCAAAACUACAUUCCCCGAGGCUUUAGUUAAGUAUGAUUGGAAUAACUGCCGAUAUCUAAAAAAUGGCACUUUGGUACCGGAUAUGGCAAAGGGGGAAGUAGAUCCAAUCUAUGCUUCUUGUUUUGAGAAAAGGUCUUGCGCAAAUAACAAGAUGGAGCCCAAGCUUGAGAGGCCUGCCAAAAGACCUCAUAUUCAAGAUUUUAACGACAAAAUCCAAGAAAGGUUGGCAUGGGGAGAAAAAGAAAAAAACAUAUUAAGCCGAGAUUUGCACCUUGAAAGAGAAGCUGAGAAUCAUGGAAUUCAACAAUGAUAUCCAAGCAGAAGAAGCCGAGGGCAAAAAGAAAAUGUCAGUGAAAGAAAAUAAUGUCGUUCGGGAAAUGAAAAUGGCAGAUGAAAAUCCCGCAGGAAGUGUAAUAGUUGAAAAGCUGAUAAACAACCUUAGGCAAAAGGUGAGUGAGUAUGGUUUGGAUCUGAACAAAGCAGAGGUUGAACUAGCUAGGUCUUCAAAGCAAUUCGCUAAAAAUGUGGAGGAACGAGCACGUCUGAUUAAAUAGUUAAAAGAAAAGCACGACAAUGAGGUUUUGAGAUUGAAGAAAAGGGCUACCAUCGUUGAGAACAAAAUGGUCAAGCAAGCGAAAGACUUUUAGGCUGAAAGAGAACAUAGUUAUUUAGCAGUGAAAAAUUAGAAAAAGAUUUGCAACAACUUGAAGAGCAGAACCAAGUAGUCGAAUGAAACUUUGAAGCCAGGGCUGAGCAAAUUGGGCGUUUUUUGCAAGAAAAGGGUGUCAUAAGAGAGAGAGUCAGAAGGAUCACCAAUUACAUCGCGAUGAAGUGCAGUAGUUUGAAGAUAUGACUAGAUCUAUGUUCUUCUCCACUGUGAUGACCUUUGUCCACCGGGUAAUGGAAGAUCUCCACCACAUCCAAGGGGAUUUAGCACGUAGGCCCAUGGCGAGAGUGAAUGAUGUCACGCGGUCCCCAUGAGCAGUAGAGGCAUUGAUGUAUACGUGAUUUUCAUUGGAGUCUAUUAUUCACUCCUCGAAUCUGUAUUUUCAUCUACUGUUGGAGUCUUUCAGUUUGAUCUUGAAUCUGUAUUUUCAUCUCUUCAUCAUAGUGUUUUAUUUUCUUUUGAGUGUGUUAGUUUUUUAGUCAUUGUAAUCAAAGAAUUUAUUCUUAUGAAAAUUUGAAAAUUCUAGAAUAUGCUACAACUUUUUUUUAUACUUAUCCCCUAGAACUACGCUCAGCCUGAUUCAUGCAGCGUCAUGAUACGUAGGCAAUUUCCAUAGGAUUCGACCAUAACCAAAAUAGGAAAAAAUAGAAGAAAAAAAAGAAGAGAAAAAGAGAGGAAAAAAAGAAAAAAAGAGAGGGAAAAUAAGAAACUGUGACAAGGAAACAAUGGAAAAAUAAGAGAGAAAAUGAGAGAAUAAAAACGAAGAUAAAGCAAAUAGAGAAGGGCAUGAAGGAAAUAGAAAAAAAGAGAGAGUGAGAAAAAAAACAAGAAGGAGAGGAAGUUGUAAAUAAGGAAAGGCCGGGAUGACGCAAGCAUCCGAUCAAAUACAUAAUAGAAACCGAUAACUGCUUAGGUGCACUCAUUCCCCUAAUUUGUGGUUGCCUAUCUGUUAAACCCUGACUGCUAACAAGUUUGUUGGUGUUUUCCAGUAGCAGACAGGUGGUUAGUUUUGUGGCAUUCUGGCAUCCCACCCAUAUAACACCUGGUCCAAAAACAAGUUGACCAUGGCCAACAAACAUUCUUAUGUGAGUAUUAUCAAUGCCUCAAGAGAGGUGGAAGAGUUGGAUGUUAAUGUGAUGAAAGAAGAGAUGCAUAAACUUAAACAACAAAUUGGCUGAAAUGUACCGAGCAUGGGCAAAAUGGCAACCACUACCAGCUUACCCCUCCAACCCUGCUUUCAUCCCGCCAUUGGCUUAGUCGCACGAUUAUCCUGCCACUGAUUCAUCCUCGAGCUUUCCCAUCUAGCAACACUACCAUAGCAAAACUUCCCAAACACCACCAUCUCUACUACCUAAACUAGUUCCAUUCCCUUCUCCACCACUAACUCCUAUCUUCGUGGCACCCUACUCGCUAGACUCGGCAGAUCUUCCAGCGAACCUUUACUCCAAACCUAUGAUGACUAGUAUUAUCCCCCGGAGCCCACUUUUAAAGCCCCAUAACCCUAUUCAUAAACUUCCCAUUUUAAUCUCCCCGUGGAAGCUGAAAAACCAUCCAAAACUUCCGAACAGGAGGAGAUGUUUAGGAAUGUUAAAAGCUUAGAACAAUCAUUCAGAGCUAUGCAAGGGUUUGGAGGUCAAGUAAGUGUAGCUUACAAAUAUCUAUGUUUUUAUCCAGCUGUGCAAUUGCCGUCAGAGUUUAACAUGCACGAGUUUGAUUUUUACGAUGGGCACGGUGAACCAAUAGCUCACUUGAGAGCAUUUUGUAGCAAAAUGAGGAGAUCCGGAGGGAAAGAUGAUUUUCUAAUGGCAUAUUUUAGUCAAAGUCUGAGUGGUUUGCCAUUGGAAUGGUAUAUCUGGCAAGACCACGGAAGGUGGAAUACGUGGAUGAUCUAGCCCAGGCAUUUACUUGCCACUUGCAGUACAAUCUUGAGAUUAUUUCGGAUCGUUUGUCCUUGACGAAACUUGAGGAAAGGCAUAAUGAAAGUUUUAGGGAAUAUGAGUUCUAUUAAAGAGAGCAAGCAGCGAGGGUUGACCCUCAGAUGAAAGAAAGUUAUGUGGUGGAUUAUUUCUUGCAGGCCUUAGAACGUACUUAUUUCGAUCAUUUGGUAUCGGUUGUAGGCAUGUCCUUCAAUGAAGUGAUGAAAAUGGGGAGCAUGGUAGAAGAAGGGCUCAAGUCUAACAAGAUCAUGAGCUAUUUGGUGAUCAAAGCAACUACCCAGGCCAUUCUAAGUAGAACCGGGAGAGUAAUUAGAAAGAAAAAUAAAGAGGAUGUCGCAACAACUAAGUCAGGAGCUUGCUUCGGAUCUAGGGCCCCAUCACAUUAUUACAACCAGCCUCGACCCCACCACCAAACUUACCCCCAAGCUCCAUAAUCUCACCACAACACUACAACCCACUGCCAUAUCCCCAUAUUUUUAUCCGUCAUGCACAAACAUACACAGAAACUCCCACCCACGCACAAUGGAAUGCGCCAACCCUACAAAAUAUCUACCCAGCUCCACAAAAUGCCUAUCCACCCCUAAGAGCCUACUGAAAUCCCCAUGGAAUAGGUUUUCGACCCAAUCCAGCCUUCAAGAAUUAAAGGUUGUAGAAGAAGAAGACUUUUACUUCAUUGGAAGAAUAUUAUACCAGUAUGUUCCACAGGCUGAGACAAUUUGGUAUGUAGAGGCCGAUCGAGACAAAACUGCCAAAUCCUCCCCCGAAAACUCUUGACCAUUCUGUGAGUUGCAAAUAUUAUUCUGGUACUCCGGGCACGAUAUAGAAAAAUGAUGGCAAUUGAAAAUAGCUAUUCAAGAGCUUAUUGAUACCAAUCAGAUUGAAGUCCAUGCUCCGAAGACGCCUAAUAUCACCCAAAACCCAUUGCCGGGUCAUCAUGAGGCAAAUAUGAUUGAGAUAGUGCAUAGAAGAGGGGAGCCUAAGAAUCCUGCGUAGACCAUCAUGAUGAUUCAGUCUAGCGAAGCCAAGUCGGUUGAAAAGUCAACAAAGAAGAAGUCAGUGAUAAGGUUGAAUGGAGCAAAUAGUGAACCAGCAGUAGUUAUGAAAAAGGAGUCACAAGUGAUGGUGCGGUGAUACAAGAAAACGCAAAAGUGGUGGUACCAGGGGUUGCAAACAAGCCUAUUGUGGUUGUGGAAGGUGGUCGUACAGAGCUCGUUGUUAUCAAACCUGUAACUUAGCUACCAAUAGUAAAAAUUAAGGUCAUCCCUUGGAAUUAUGAGUGAGUUCUAGUGACUUCCAAAGGGAAAAAGGUUAAAGAAGUUUGUGAAACCCACGGAUUGACCCGAUCGGGAAGAUGCUUUGCCCCUGAUGAGGUAAGAAAAGCUAAAACCUCCAAAGAUAACCCAGUGUUGGUGAAGAAAGCAAUUAUCGAAGAAGAGGAAAAGGAGAUUUUGAAAAAAUUGAAGGUGUAUGACUAUUACAUUGUGGAGCAAUUAAGGAACACGCAUGCUCAAAUUUCACUAUUGUCAUUGUUAAUUCAUUCGUACAAGCAUCAUACGAGCACUGAUGAAUAUCCUCAACGAGGCCCACAUUCCUAAAAAAUCUCAGUAAACCACUUGGAAAAUAUAGCAAACAACAUUUUUGAGGUAAAUAAUAGAGCCCUUUAUCUUACGGUGAAGUGCGAAGAUUCAGUGGUUACCUGGUUAGUGGUCAACAAUGGUUCAAGUGUAAACAUUUUCCCUUUCUCUACUCUUAACAAGAUGAAUGUGGAUGAUGAAAGAAUUCACAAGAACAAUAUUUGCGUGCAAGGGUUCGAAGGUGAAGAGAAAGAUUCGGUUAGUAACAUAGUGCUCAAGAUGACAAUCGGACCAGUUGAUUUUACAAUGGAAUUCUAGGUGUUAGAUGUGGCUGUCUCUUACAAUCUAUUGUUGGGUCGGCCCUAGAUUCAUGCCGCUAAAGCAGUCCCCUCUACUCUGCAUUAGACGGUAAAGUUUGAAUGGGAUAGAAAGAAAUAGUUAUACACAGCGAGGAUAAUUUGUAUGCCCAUAGUGAUGCCAUUGUACCAUUCAUUGAAGCUAAGAAAGACAAAGGGCCUUGGGUCGACCAGGUUUUGACACGGUAUCGGUAGAGAAAAUUCCAGAAGGCAAGUGCGUUCCAGUUCCGAAGGUAGCUGCCACAUCAGUCAUGGUAGCUAUUGAAAUGUUGAGAAAUGGUUUUGUCCAGGGCAAGUGUUUGGGCGCAUCUCUACAAGGCAUCGUAUUGCAGGUGUCUCUCCCCAAAAACAUGGAUACAUUUGGUUUGGGAUUCAAGCCCACAAUUGCAAACAUGAAAAGAGCCAAAAAGUUGAAACGCCCAAAGCCUGUCCCACGUCUUUUUAGAUGAUUUGUCAGUCCUGGCAUCAAGAAAUGCCUAGCAGCAACAAGUCCCAGUUCCAAGAUUGGUCUUGAUAAGGAAUGGCUUGAAAGGUUUGAGAAGUUAUUCGACGAUGUGAAUAUGGUGGAAGAUGGAGAGGGUUAUAGCAAGGUUGAUGUGCAAUUUAUUGGGCCCUGUGCAUUGAUUAACAAUUGGGAAGCUACACAUCUCCCCACCAGGAAUGAGUUUUGAUAGUUUGCUUUGAUUUUCUUUCAGUUUAUCUGGAUUAUUCAAGGGUUGUAAUUCAGAUUCUAUGUUCGUCUGUUUGGAUGUAUAAACCUUGUUAUCUUUCAAUUUCAAUGAAAUGCAAUUUUCCUUUUUCAUCAUUUCUGAUAGUUUUUUAUUUUUGCUUUUCUUUUCCUUCUUGUAGUGUUCUUUUUAUGCAUGUUUCAAUGACAUGACAUACAUGAGGAAUCCUCUGCCAAGUCUUGAAAGUCAAUCUAAUUCUGAAAUAAUAAUUCAAGAAAUAGAAUGUGAUGAUGAAUCAGAAUAUGACGAGGAUGAGGAAUUUGAUGAAAUAAAUAAAGAAUUAAGCCAUUUUAAGACAAAACCUAAGCAAACUUGAGUGAAACAGAAGCAAUCAAUUAAGAGAUCCAGAUAAUACCAGAGAAACUAAGAUAAGUGUUUAUCUUGAACCACAACUUAGGGAAGAGAUAAUCAAAGCAUUGUUUGAAUACAAAGAUAUUUUUUCAUGGUCAUAUGAUGACAUGCCGGGUCUAAGCAACGACCUGGUGGUUCACAAAUUGCCCACUGACCAAGCAUGUCCUCCCGUCAAACAGAAGUUAAGGAAGUUUAAAGUGACUUGAGCGCAAAUAUUAAAGAGGAAGUCACAAAGCAAGUUCGAGGCAAAGGUUAUUCCAGUGACGCGGUAUACCACUUGGUUAGCCAAUGUUGUGCAUGUACCACAGAAGGAUGGUAAGACCAGGGUGUGUGUUGAUUAUCGCGAUCUCAACAAUGCAAGCCAAAGGAUAACUUCCUACUGCCAAAUAUCUACAUUUUUAUUGAUAACUGUGCCAAACAUGAGAUUGGGUCUUUUGUGGAUUAUUAUGCAGGCUACCAUCAAAUUCUAAUGGAUGAGGAGGAUGCAAAAAAGAUGAUAUUUAUCACGCAGUGGGGAAUAUACUACUACAGGGUCAUGCCUUUCGGGUUAAAAAAUACUAGGGCAACUUACAUGAGGGCAAUGGCGACUAUAUUCCACGACAUGAUACACAAAGAGAUCGAGGUUUAUAUGGAUGACGUGAUUGUAAAGAAUAGAAAGCAAUCUGACCAUGUCAAAGAUUUGAGCGAAUUCUUCCAAAGGCUUUGCAAGUAAAAUCUCAAGCUUAUUCCUGCAAAAUGGGCAUUCAGUGUGCCGUUUGGAAAAUUGUUAGGAUUCUUGGUCAGCCGUCGAGGUAUUGAGCUAGACCCCUCAAAGAUUAAAGCUUUCCAAGAAUUUUCAGCUCCGAGGAACAAGACUGAGGCAAUGAGUUUAUUAGGGAGGUUGAACUACAUCAGCAGGUUUAUUUCUCAGCAUAUGAAAACUUGUGGGCCAAUUUUAAAACUGUUAAAGAAGGAUGUUAUGGUCAAGUCGACAUAUAAGUGUCAAGAAGAAUUUGAUAAGAUAAAAGGGUACUUGUCAAACUCGCCUGUGUUGGUGAACCAGAACCAGGGAGACCUUUGAUUCUGUAUUUGAUGGUUUUGGAUAAUUCAUUUGAUUGUGUAUUGGGUUAGCAUGACAUUACCGGCAAAAAGGAGCAGGCCAUCUAUUAUCUCAGCAAAAGUUCACGUCUUACGAGGUUAAGUACACUCACCUGGAAAGGACAUGUCGCGCCUUUACUUUGGUAGCACAAAAGUUGAAGCACUAUAUGUCAUCUUACACAACCUACCUCAUCUCUUAUUUUAAUCCAAUAAAGUAUAUCUUUCAGAAGCCUAUGCCCAUAGGGAGGCACACAAAGUGCCAGAUUUUGCUCAUAGAAUUUGUCAUCGUCUAUAUGACCUGGACUGCGAUGAAAGACUAAGAAUUGGACGACCAUUUGGCUGAGUAUCCGAUGGAUGAAGAAUAUGAGCCUUUGAAGACUUACUUCCCUGAUGAAGAGGUAAUGCACAUUGAUGAGUAGGGACAAGUUGGAGAGCCAGGUUGGAAACUUUUCUUUGAUGGAGCUGAAAACAUGAAAGGUGCUGGGAUAGGAGCUGUACUGAUUUCUAAAACAGGAUACCACUAUCUUGUUACGGCUCAGCUUCGUUUCUAUUGCACUAACAACAUGUCUUAGUACGAGGCGUGCAUUUUGGGUUUGAGGUUCGCUGCAGACAUUGGUGUCAAGGAAGCCUUGGUCUUGAGGGACUCGGACCUUGUGGUGUACCAAAUUCAAGGGGAAUGGGAAACACUGGAUUUAAAGCUCAUACUAUACCGCCAAUAAGUGCAUGAUCUUUGUUAAUGAUUUUGAUUGUAGAGAUUAGGCAUAUUCCAAGGAUCCACAAUGAGGUUGCUGAUGCUUUGGCAACCUUGGCAUCAAUAUUACAUCAUUCGGGUAAGGCGUAUGUCGACCCGUUUCAUAUUCAAGUCCAUGAUCAACAUGCUUACUGUAAUGUGAUGGAAGAAGAACUUUAUUAUGAGCCUUGGUUUCACGAUAUCAAGGAAUAUAUCAGGAUGGGGAUGUAUCUUGUACAAGCCACAGGUGAUCAAAAGAGAACAAUCCAGAUCUUGGAGUAUUGAGAUGCGUAGAUGCUUGACAGGCCACGACCAUCAUGACCUAAUUAUAUUCUCGAGUUUGUGGACCGCAUAUGAGUGGGUAUGUUCUAGUAAAGAAGGUUCUCUGAGCAGGUUAUUAUUGGCUCACCAUGGAGCGAUAUUGUAUUAGUUUUGCGCGUAAAUGUCCUCAAUAUCAGGUGCACGGAGAUUUGAGUUAUUCUCUACAAUCUGAUGUGCAUACAAUGUCUGCACUAUGGCCCUUUGUUGCUUGGGGCAUGGUUGUCAUUAGGCUAAUCGAGCCAGCAGCAUCCAAUAGACACAUGUUUAUUCUGGUGGCCAUUUAUUAUUUCACCAAGUGGGUUGAAGCUAAAAUUUCAAGUUUGUGACCAAGAAAGAGGUGGUCGAUUUUAUGCAUUCAAAUAACAUUUGUCGGUUGGAGAUCUUGAAGGUAAUCAUCAUAGAUAACAGUGCAGAUCUAAAUAGUCAUCUGAUGAAAGAGAUAUGUCAACAGUUUAAGAUUACACAUCACAAUUUCAGCCCAUACCACCCCAAGGCGAAUGGAGCUGUCGAGGUAGCCAACAAGAACAUAAAGAGUAUACUUCGGAAAAUGGUUGAGGGUUCUAGGAAAUCGCAUGAAAACUUGCCUUUUGCAUUGUUGGGUUAUCGCACUACUGUUCAUACUUUAGUAGGGAAACUCCUUAUUUGUUGGUGUAUGGCACUAAAGUAGUGAUACCCGUAGAGAUUGAAAUCCCAUCCCUUCGGAUUGUUGCUGAAAAUUAAUGAUGAUGAGUGGGUCAAAACCCACCUGGAGAAACUGAGUUUGAUUGGCGAGAAAAGAUUAGCAGCAGUGUGUCAUGGCCAGCUGUACCAACAGAGAAUGGCAAGAGAAUAUAACAAGAGGGCGCUUCCAUGAAAGUUUGAAGUAGGCCAGUUAGUAUUAAAACGUAUCCUCCCUCAUCAGACUGAAGCAAGAGGAAAGUUCACCCCAAAUUGUCAGUGGUCGUUCAUCGUUACGAGAGUGUUGUCCAAUAGUUCUUUGUAUUUAACAGAUGCAUAACGAAAAUACGUAGAAAUGGCCAUCAAUUCUGAUGCUGUCAAGAGAUAUUAUGUAUGAUUUUCUUUAACAAAAUUGUAUUUUUUUUGUACUUGGCAUGUUUUGUUAUCCUCUUUGAGCCUUAUUUAUUUCCUUUCAUACUCCUCUUUCGAAAUCAGUAGCAAAAUAUCAAAAACACAAGAAUGAAAGGUAAGUAAGGGGAAAAGAGCAUGAAAAGAAAGAAAAGAAAAAAAAAACAACAAAAACAAUAGAAAGAAAAGAAAAGAAGAGAAAGAGGAAGAAAAGAAAAGAAAAAUCACAACAACAAAGUAAUUCCUAUGACAUGAACUAUGUUCGACCUGAUUCCUUUUAAGGAUACGUAGGCAGCCUCACGGUUCGGCCCCAUCAAAGUAAAAGUACAAAGUCCCCCAAGCAAAGAAAUUGGUACACAAAUUGUGGUUAUUGUAAGAAAUCUGAUUCUGAAAGUUGUAAUUUUGAACCCAUUUGAAUUGUUUUGAGCCUUUGAUACCCUUUCUUUCUAACCCUAUCUGAAAGCCCACAUUACGGUCCAAAGAAAAACUUUUCGAUCAGUCUUCGAGAGAUGCCAAGUCAAGCAAGUAAGGGUGAUUUAGUUUUUCCGAUCAGUCUUCGAGAGAUGCCAAGUCAAACAAGUAAGGGUGAUUCAUAUCAUGGGCAACACUCUAGUCCGGACAAGGAAAAUAAAAAAGGAGAGAGUCUUAUUGGUGAAAACCAUCGCGGGCAUCGUAAGGCGAUGGAAAGCUAUGAGAAAUAAAAAACGAGAGUCUUAUUAGUGAAUAUUUUCACAGGCACCUUAAGGCGAUAGUGAGCUGAGGGAUAAACAAAUAAGAGAGGCUUGAUGGUGAAACCCCUUCUGGGCACUAUAGGCCGAAUAACGUUAAGGUUUUGGUAAAGAAAUUGGGUUUUCAAGAUCUCGGGGCACAAAAUAUGACAACUAAAAGUUGAUUUGGAUAGAUUGGGCUAAUUAAUCCAAAAUGCAUGUCAUGAUUUUGGCUCCAGCUUCUCCACUCAGAUAAGUCUCUUUUCUUUUUCCUUUUCAAACAGUCUUCCGAUUUUGGAUUUUUCUUAUCCCUAACUCUCAAAAGUCAGUUCAUUUCAUUUCUUUGGAGUUUAUUUCCCUAAAUUGUUUCCAAUGUCAGUCUGUUUACACAAAUAAGAAAGGAUUUAAAAUCUUACUACCAACUUCUAAAGUAGCACAGGGCAUCGGACGGCCAAGGCAUUGCUAGAGAUAGUAUGAUGUGAAAUGGGAUAUAAAAGUUCAUGGGAGUUCCACCAGUGAAAUUAAUUAGUAAUUUCAUGGGAAAUGCAGAGAUUCAAAUAGAUGGGUAAAAGAUGUAACACAAUGGUUUGGGUAUAGACAUUUGGGUCAUCCAAGGUCAUGGGGGUUGAAAGUCAGUCGGAAAGUCAAGCGAUUCUUGGCCAGUUCGAGGAAGCUAGUCAAAAUAAAGCACGACAGCGGAGAAGCCAACUUAAGCAAGAAUGCCACAAACUAACGACCACAUUUUAUUUUUAAAUUGACAAUAUUUUUAUUUGAUUGAAACAAGGGUAGAAAAUUUUAUUUGUUUCAGAGAAACCCUCCGUAGGGAAAAACAAAGCACUAGACAGGUAUGACCGUAAAAUCUAAAGACCCUCCUAGAAUAUGGGACCUAGGUAGCAAAAUCUAGCAUAAAUGUACCUUAAAAGAAUUUGAGUUGGUUUCAAAUUUUCAUUCUGGAGAUAGAAUUUAGUUAGGAGUUGUCAGGACCAUCCUGAAUAAUAGGACCCAGUUUUAAGAUUUUCAUUAGAUAACAAGAUGUAGCGUAAGUUUUGUUGUAGGGCAGUAUAAUUCAGCCGUAAAAUUGUCACUCUUAAUACAAGACUUGAUUUUUUAUUUUCAGGACCCUCCUAGGAGAUGGGACCUAGUUUUAAAAAUAAGUAGCAAAAUCUAGCAUAAAUGUACCCGAAAGGAAUAUAAGGGGUUUCAAAGUUUGCAUGUUUUGAGAUAGGAUUCAAUCAGGGGUUUUCAGGACCCUCCUGAAUAAUAGGACCUCGCAUUAAGAUUUCCAUUAGAAAUCAAGACCUAGCGUAAGAUCUGUUGUAGGGGAGUAUAAUCCAGCCGUAAAAGUUGUGCCAUAAGGAAGUAUAAUUCAACCGUAGAAGUUGUCACUCGUAAGAUAAGACUUGAUUUUUUAAUUUCAGGACCCUCUUGGAUAAUGGAGAGUAGUUUAAGACCCUCUGAGAUUACAUGAUUUGGCUUAAGUUACACCUUUGUAAGAUAUAACUUAGAUUUAAAAUUGUCGUUUAAAUAAGAGUUGUUAGGAUCCCCCCUCCCCAUGGAUAAUGGGACUUACAUUUCAAAUUCUUAGUAAUAUUUGGCAACAUGAUUUAGUUUAACACUAACAUAUCUGCCUGGUUACCAAACAAGGGCAGGAAAAUCUUCUUUGUUUUGACUAGUUUUGUUGAAAUCAGGAGCCCACUUGGAGAAAAGGGAGAAGAAAUUCAAGUUCAAUAGUCAGGCGCCCAUCUGGAGAGCACGGGAAUACAUUUCAAGUUUGGCAAUCAGACUCCCACAUAGAGAGCGAGGGAAUAUAGUUAAACUUCUGGCAAUCAGACACCCACUUAGAGAGCAAGGGAAUACGGUUCAAGCUUACGUGUUGGCAAUCAGGAGCCAACCUGAUGAACUAAGGGAGAAGCAAAUAAAGUGUCGGUAAUCAGGAACCCACUUGGAGAGCUAGGGAUAACAACACCAGUAUUAAGGAAGGGAAACAAUUUAAGUGUCGGUAAUCAGGCGCCUACCUAGAAAUAAAGCAAUUCAACUGUUGGUAAUCCGGAGCCAAUCUGAAGAACGAAGGGAAAGCAACAAUGUUCGAAGAAAGACCCUUCAAGAUCAGCAAUCAGGCACCCACCUGAAGAAAAGGGAAAUCAUCUCAGAUUAUAAUUUAAGUCGGCAACAAAGGAACUUCACCUUGAGAAUACAAGUUAACAAGGCAACGUAAACCACAAUAUCAAGUUUUAGAAUAUAGAUAGGAUUUUUGUAAUUCAUAAAUCAUAGUUCAGUCUAGUUUCUAUUAUUUUUUCAUGGUGUAAUAAUGGGGUUCAGUAAGCAAUAGCAACAGCAACAACAACAACAGUGAAAUCACAACUUCGUGGUAGUCCGAGCUAGCGAAACUUUCCGAACUACACUGACCUGAUUCCUUUAUAGACAAGGAUAUGUGGGCAUCCUCUGAAGCAGGAUGUGGUCAAAUCUUUCAAAAAAUGCUUCUCACAUAGUAUUCAAACAGGCAAAAAUCGCUUGUAUCCGCUCACUUAAUCUUUACAUAAAACUCUUCGUGUUUCCACGCAAAGAGGGGCAGCUGUGAGCACGUGAUUUUUGCCCUAUAUGAAUUUUUCGCAUAGAUACAAGAAAAUAAAUUUCUUCCAUUACUUGCAAUUUUGUAGAUUUUAUAGCAUUUUGUCGAUUGUGUGCAUUUGCCUGUGCACGUUUAUUUUACUUACGUCAGGAAAAAAAUAACAACAAAUAUAUCAUGCAUUUGCAUUUUGGACUUAUUUUCAUACCUUUUUAGGUUAAUUAGUAAAUUAAGUGCUUUAUUAAAAUAAAAAUCACAAAAUUAGUUCAUUUUUCAUUCUACUCUUUGAAUUUAGAACUUAGGAAUUAUUCAUAAAUACUUUGAAUAAUAAUUAGGCUAAUUUAAUAAGUUAAUUGAGUUUAGGAAUAAAUUCAGAUUUUUUUACUUAUAUAGAGAAUUAGUAAUUAAAAGGAAAAAGAAAAGGGUUUAAAUCAAAAAAAGAGUUGUUCCCAUUUCUUGGGCCAUUUUGUCAGCCAAAACAUGCCUACCCCCGAUAACUCGUCCCAAACCCAUGUCCAACCCGCUUUAUUUGGCCUGAAACCCAAGUUUUACCGAGUCUAGCUUCUUUAAGACCAAAACACAGUUGUGUGGAGUUCCCUGAUAUGGAUUGGAUCUUGGUCGUCCAUCGUCCAUCAUCCAAUGGCCCUAAUAAUUCCCCAUUAUUUUACUUAAAACUGUCCAAACUCCACCAGAACAACCUAAGACUAAGUACCAUUCUUCAUCUCCUCCCUCAUCUCUCUCAAGACAAAUCCUAGCGCCGCCCUAAAAUUCCCUUCCCCUCUGAUAGAGGCACUGAUCCCGACCCACCCCAAACUCACCUAUCAACCCUCCCGUCCCCCUUUGUCCUAAUCUCAACGCAGUGUCCCUCGAAUCAAUCUCAAUCUCAUCGAAUAGUGAAUCAAAAUAUGGGACCUAAAAUAAAUCACCAGAUUUUGUAGUAGUUGAGGCCGAAAUGGACCUUGUUCGUGUGUUUUCAUAUGAGAACACGUGAUUGAGGCCCCCUUUGGUUAAAAUCGAGAUAUUGAAGAAGAACUUCAAGGCCUGGCCAGUUCAUUAGGUAUCAUGGAAUUUUGGUUGGUUCUUUUUUUGUACUUUUUUUGUUUUGUUUUUUCUAAAGUCAUCCUUCUUCAUCCAAUUUAUGUGCUUGUGGUUCCGCUUCUUCACUGCAUGCCUAUUGAUAAUUCAUGCAUUCCUUAUUUGUUAGUCAACAUAAUUAUCUGGUUGUUUGUUUAGAAUUAGUUGAAUCGUUCUUUUGUUUUCUCUUUUUGUUUUGGGCUUUGUUUUAAAAUUCUCGUGUAUCUUUCUCUUGAUUAAUUCUAGGUCAAAUUUUCCAGUCUUCGGCUGAUUUUAAUUGAUACCUAAAAAUGAAGCCCAAACGGAAUUGAAUUAGGUCUAGUUCACACCUAGUAACAUGGGUCAAUAUGACCCAUAGUUGGUUUACAUUAGGAGGGUAAAUAUCAGAGUUGUGAGGGUUAAUUUGGGGUAAUUGGUUGAGGGAAUCUUUGUAAAAUAGAAUACAAAUCUUCCUAAGAAGCUGGGCUGGGGUUGUGUUGAUGAUUUGAUAAUUACAUUAAGGGUAGCAAAGCAAAAUGGAAAAUUAGCUAAGGAGUUUUGAGUUAAAAAACAAAAUUGAAAAGGAACUAAGCAGUAAAAACUAAUUCCUGAGUGGUACCCUAUUCUCUUGCCUAUAAUGGCACCUUUUCUUGCCUUUCAAGGGGGAUUGGAAGAGUAAAAUCCAGAGAAAAUCAAAGGUGGCUGAAAAUUUUCAUAAAAUUUACUAUUCCAUUGGUUUUUGGUUUCAUUCUUGAGGUUUUCUGCUUUUCUGAAGUUAUCUGUGAUUCACAUGGGUUGAAGAUGGUUUAAUUUGGCUUUUCAAAACUGAUCUUGAGCUGAACUUCAAUUGGAGUGUUGUUUCAAUUUGAGUUUGGAGUUUAUAAAUUGGAUUCGAGUUUGUUUAGAAGUUUGGUUUGACUUCCUAUGCUCACCUUGCUUUGUUUCUUCUCAUUUUCAGGUACUUCAUGAACUAUGGAUAGCAAAUAGCUGUACCCAUGCAUUCUGUAGUAGAAAUUGAAUUGAAUAAAAAAAAUUGUUUUAAGUUUUUUUGAUGUUUUGUUUUCUUCCUGCUCUUAGUCAUAUAUUGGUAGUAGUUUAGAGUUAUGCAUGCUAUUUUCAGCCUUCAUAUGCCUUCAGUAUGAUGUAAUGAUAGAUUUGUUCUCUUGAAUUGAGGACUAUCUAAUUUCAAUAUGAGUACAAGGUUCACGAUUCGAACACGAAUGUUAUACUUAAGUAAUUGUUAGCUAUUUGUUUGUUUUUGAAUGCUGGUUUUUUGUAUAUCUUAGACUUUGCUUGGUUUUGGCUGAGAUUUGUUGGGGUUAUCUAAUGCAUAUUUAUGUUUAAGCUCACUGGAAAAUGAGAAGUUGUUAGUUUUGUUGUAGAUAAGUUCUACUUGUCUAAGAUUGAUUUGAUUUUAAAGUUUUCAUGUUUAUAUUUCAAUGUAGUUUGGAGAUCUGGGGAUUUAAAGUUGGCCCACUGUUAAUCAGUAAAAUUGGACUUCUAAUCGUUUUCAAAAUCGAGCCACUGCUAAAAUUCCAGAUAAUUGGCCAUGGAUUUGUUAAAGUGUGAUUUCGAAGGCUGUGUGCAUGCGUAUUGAUAUCAGCGUUAGCCCUUUUGAAUUUACGAAUUUUUUUGCAACUUUUGGCAUUGUCUAUUCGCUGUAAGAGACUCGAUACUGAGUCUGAUAUUCAGUAGCUACAAGUUUCGACAUUUGUGCUCGCGCUUGGGCCCAAUCUGGUUAGCCUUUUUCUCAUUUAGUUAUUAGCUCGUUUGUGCUUGAUUCAGUCCAUUUGCUUAAAUACUCCACUUUCUCUUGUAAGCCUUUAAAUAGUUUGAGAAAAACCUUUAAUUAUAUGUGGCGUGUUAAUUAAUUUUUCCCAUAAAAUAGAUUGAGGUGUGCCAUAUUAGGCAAUACAACUAGUUUAUGGCCCUUCAAAGUGUAGUUUGAAUCCCUUUGAAAAUUAGAAU